rnacentral:lncRNA from 1 species
ACUUACCCCUUUUCUUUUGGGGCCUAGUGGUGCAUAGAGCUGAGGUCAGUAAUUGCCCACUGGGAACUAUAAAUUAUAGUUCUCACGCCCUCUUUUUCUCGGUGUUUUUCAGAGCCUUCCGCGCAAGGUGAGGCCGGGGAUCGCGGAAAGGGAGUUGCUUCGAGCUAGCUUCCUUCGAGGACGAGUUGCUAGGUGGUCUACCUCUCGAUGUCUUACUUUUGCGAGAGUUUGAGGGUUUUACCAGUGUACUAGAGACCACCAUUUUUGUACUAGUGACAGAUAUUGUAUUACUUAUGGUUUCUUUUAUUGUCUAGCUUUAUUUCUAUACCUUAGUGUGGAUGAUAGAACUUCACUCGCUCUGAUAUCAUUAGUUGCUUGUUAUUUUACUUCUUUUACUUGGUUUUACUUCCGCUUUUGUUGUAGACGCCUUAUAUGUGUUGACAUAUGGCGGGUCUGGGCACGCUACCGGGAGGGCCUCCGCCGGUCCCGGGGCGUGACACCUUACCUCGGCACAUCUCAUGUACGAUCCGAUUAUCCUUCGGCCUCUAGGGUUUUACACCUCACCGGACAGUUUCUUGGUGCAAACGCCCUAGUUAAGUCGAACCCACCUUUCCUACAAGUAUGGAACUACCAAAAGACCCUCACCGGACAGUUUCUUGGAGCCGUCGGUAAUCCUAUCUUGUAGCAUCAUAUGACAAGAUGUUCACAUUGCCCCAACACAAGUAGCCCCAUGGGACCAUGCGUGACUACUCAAUGUCGGAACAAUAUUCUCACCCUGUGAUUGGUGGAAGGCCACGAUAGAGUAUCAUAUACCCAUUCGUUCCUACUUAAUAUAUUAUAGGGAGAUUAAAACUUUAUUAAUUUCGUCUCAUCAUCACAUUCACAUAUCACAUCUCAUGAUAUAAAAUAAUAUGUAUCGCAUACACACAAAAUAAAUAACUGUAUGCUAAAAGGGAUGAUCAUGAACUUUUAUGAUUUGACUCGAGCCGAGGAGUCAAAUCGGUCUAUGGGUAAUUUUUACAUUCACAUACACAUUCUCAACUUUUGAGAUAAGCUAUUCUUUAACUUUCCGAUUUACCAACAUCUUAUGUGGUCAAAUAGAUCCCGUCUGCGACCAUUCAAUCAUCUUCUUCUCCUGAGUCCUAUGUAUGCCACGAUGCCGUAAACAAUUACGACCUCAGUCCGUCAACUCUUGCGGUGCACACUCCUGUAUAGAACUCUAAUUUUGCCUGAUCUAAUUAUUACAUAUUAGACAAGUAGGGAGACGCAGAUCCUAAUAAAUUACAAAUUAAUUUAAAGAGAAGAACAAAGGCACGCAAACCCUAUUUACAAAUACCGAAAACUAAAUAACAAAUAAUUGCGUAAAUUACACCAUAAAAAAAUACAUCACAUCAUCUCAAAAACAUCGAGAUACAUCCAUAAUCACAUCAUAGAGAUCUAGUCAAGUUCAUGAUCAUCUCCUAUAUAAUUACUUAUACAAAAAAUGCAACCGAUCUGUCUCGGAUCUCGAUUAAAUUUUUCGGAACUAUAAAAUACGUUAUCUCCCAUUUUGCUUGGCAAUAUUGUUGUAAUAAAACAACAAAUCGUAACACAUGCAAAAUGACAAAAUGAGAACGAUCUAAUCAUAGAAAGAAUCCGAAAAAUUAGAUCGAACUGUACCGAUCUUUAAUAUUUUUACAUAGAACAUGAGAAUCGGCUCUGAUACCACUGUUAGAAAUUAACCGGCACAUCAGAAAAACGCAGCGGAAAAUAAUUUUGCACUUUUAAAAUUUUUCGGAAGCUAAAUAUAUAUCACAUAUGAAAACCGAAAACCAAUAAAUCAAAUCAUUGCCGGCGGAUCAUUCUCAUGUUACUAUGCAAAAAUUUAAUCUAAACAAAAACUCUUUAUGUUUAGAGAUCUUACCGUGGACCAGUUAAGGUCUCUUGAUCUACUGUACGGUUGAAACUGAAUAUGACGAAUAGAGAUUCCGAUUAGCCGCGCACAUGCCCGGCCUCUACGCGUAUCCACACGGAAUUGAUCCAGAUCCAACGCCUUCUGUCGCACGGAACAGAUGAGUCGUAGAUUACAAAGACAGUGCUAGCAGUCUUCUCUUAUCCACGUUCCCUUUUAGUAAAAUAUUUGACGAAAGGUUGAGAGAGAAUAAUGUGAAUCUCUUCACAUUAAUUUUCAUGUGUUGCCUACUAAUGAAACCGCGUCUUUUUAUGUACAGCUCCAAUUAAUUGAGCCGUACGGAUCGGCACUCCUCAACAUUCUGUUGUAACUAAUUGGAUCAUAUCCAAUUAGUUGCAUACAUUCUGUUGUAAUUAAUUUGGAUCAUAUCCAAUUAGUUGCAAUAUAGGAUAAGUAAAAGUAAAUUUAUGCUCAUCCUUUAUGGAUAUUUUAUCAUUAUCUCUCUCUUUAAUUUAAUUAGAUCUUAUCCAUUAAAUUAUAAUUAAAUAUUCAUAUUUAAAUCUAAUCUAAUUAGAAUAUUAUCUCAUAAUAAUCUAUGAAUAUUUAAUUAUUCUCUAAUCUAAUUAGAGAUUAAAUCUUUCGUAACAUUCAAAUUCAAAUUACUAUUUCCACUAAACUGUUUAGUGUAUUAUACUCAUAUUGUCAUGUUGGAUGCAUACAAUUCCUAUUGUGUGUGACCGCAUAGGUUCAUUAUCAUUCGGCAGUAAGGUCCAAUAUCAAACCCUUCAAUAUUGAAUUAGAACUCUUCUAAUCUGUAAAAUAAUUUAUUUAAAUUAUUGUUUACUUCUCUCACUGUCCGCGAGUGACACCUAGCAGUAUAUCACGGCAAUCCAGAAUGAUGAUGAAAAACGAACCUUUCCGCUAACCGUUACCGUGUGAUUAAUUCCUUCCAACACACAACGCCCCGAUCGAACUAAGAUUAUGGUUACUCGCCAAAUCUUAUUAUUCGAUCAUAUGAUUAGAAUAUCUGAAAUCAACUUAAUAUGGUAACACAGUUAGAAACUCUUUCCACAUACCAUGUACCCUGGCCAGGGGUUUUCCGAGUCGAGUCCGAUAAACUACAUAGGACAUUCUCCCUCAUCAUUGAGAGUGUUGGAUUCCUUAUUGCGCAUUCACAUGCCUCCUCGCAUAAAUCACUAUAGUCAAUCAGUAUCGAACAUAGACCCGUGUCUAGAGUCUAAGUAUUAGUACUGUCAAACGGUAGCAAUCUAUACGUGAAGUAACUAUAAUGCCUCAGGUCCGAGGAAUACUUCACACAACUGUAGCAAUGAACUUGUCACUGGCGAGCAUAGAACCAUAUGACUGUUCAACUAAAUAGUCACGCUCAGUGUACUUGUUCUCUAACAAGCACCUAUAUGCUUGUUCUAGUGUCCCUACACUAGUGACUUGAGAUUCGUCACCUCAAUUAGAAACAUAGCAUACACCGGCCUAUCCGGAAUAUCACCGUCCCUGUAAUAUUCCUCUGGCUAGGAGCAUUUAAAGAGUCUGGUACAGAGAAGUACAUAUCUCAAAUUCCUAACUCUUAAGAAUAUGUCUUUUCAAACAAAGACCCUAUGGACGAUUCAUGUCAAUAUUGUACUGCUAUACAAUAGAUAUAAAUAGAUUAUCUGCCCUUAUAUUAUGAAUUAUAAAUGAUUAAUACAUAAAUACCCUUAAGCUAGUGUCACCAGAUUGGCUUUUGGGCAUAUAACUAACAAAUGUUGCAUGUGCUCGUCUUUGUUAUCGCGAGUGCGAGUGAACUUACCUAGUCUUGGCUUGGUUGUGUACUAGUCUCAUCAUUGUGCCAAGCAUAGCCCGAUGAUUAGAUAGUUGGAGUAGUCUCGGUUAAGCUACCGUGACCAUUGGGUUCAUGGUUGACGAGUGGUUUAAGUCCAGUUAUACAUUUAUGCGACAUGAGAUCGAGAGCGUUUGUGGGCUACAAUAUCAAGAGUGCUGAGACUCCUUUGGAUUAUAUUGCAAUAUAAUUGCCAUUUUGGGUCACUUGGUGCAAAUAUGGAGGAGAGAGAUAGGUGGUUUGCGUUGUCAGGAGAGACAGGUCACUUGGGUCCCUUGGGUCCCUUGGGGGAUGGGGGUGUUAGGAUCUCUCGUAGAGGCGGACAUUGGACAUCAUUGUUGGUUAUGUUUGCAUGCUACAAUUGGCAACCCUAGCCACCUAGUGAUCGGGCAUGCGAGGGAAUAAUUGGGUCUGAUAUACUCGAACGAAAAAAUUGAGCAAGUUGGAAUAAAAGGAUUAGUUAGUAGUGAUGGGCCAUUUGGCCAUGGUAGAAGAUUAGGUCGUGGAUCUGACUGUGAGUGUUAAGCUUGAAGCCUCUAAUGCAAGAAAGCAAGUGGUCGUGACUUCUAAGGUGAGCAGUGCUGACUCUAGAUGGAAACACCGAAAAGUUUUGAGCAUGGCUUAAACUCGUAAAGGAUUACAACCUCUUUAUCUAGUACCACUUGGGAAGGUGAUCGUGGUGGUCGACACCUUAAGGUGGAAGUACGUCUUGCUAAGUUGACUACUAUGAGCAUCAAGCAAGAUUGCUUUGUCGAGUUGCGCAAAACACUCCUCUCUCACACUUAGCUCUCCGUGCAGAAAUGUUUGAACUUCCGUGAGGAAGUCCGGAUCCCAAAAGUCCACCAAGGCAAUUCUGAAUUGGGGGUUUGGACUUCCUUAUCGAAAUUCAGAUCUUGAAAGUUCACCAACGCAAAUUCAUGAAUAGAGUUUGAACUUCCUUACCGAGGUCUGGAUCCCAAACAUUAUUCUGCACAAAGCUGCUAGAGUUCAGACUUCUGCUGUGAGAUUCAAAUUCUAAAGUUUUGAUCAAUUUUUGAUAAUUUGCUUCAAAAACUUUGUUUCCGAUCCAUUUUUAUCCAAACUCGGUCCCAAAUUUUCUGUUGGCCAUGCAAACGUGUCCAAAUAGUUUUGUGCUAAAUUCAUCUAUAUUUUAUCCCUUGACUAAAAUUCAAUAUACCGUAUUGAAAGUUAGUAUGUGACACUAAUUUCAACAAUUUCUUUUUGAAAACCUUAAUAUCAAAAGUUGAUGGAAUCUUAAUGCAAAAAGUAAAUAGUUGUAAAAUUUGAAAGUCAAGCUAAGCCGACAAGGGUUUGAGGGAUGAAAUCCACAGAUUUGUGAACAAGACACAACAUUAAAAUAAAAAUUGACAACUGAAUUGGACUUUUUUACAAAAUAACCUUGUAAAAUUUAUAAUUUGCAAAAUAACCCUGUCGAAUUUAUAUUUGAAAAAUUAGCCCUCUUUUCACCAUGUAGGAGCCAAGUCAGAUGUUUGAAAACGGUGAAUGGUUCAUUGUCUUUGUAAGAUAACUACCGAAGGCAAUGAAUCAUUCACCAUCUCUGUAAUAUAAGUAUUGAAGACGGUGAAUGGUUCAUCGCCUUCACUAAGGCGGUAAACCAUUCACCGUCUUUAGUGUGACCCUAUGCUCUCGAGAUUUGAGAGAAGAUUUUCUCUAAGUCCUCGACUAUGGGAUUGAAAUAAGUUCUCGAGAUUUGAGAUAAGACGGUGAACCAUUCACCGUCUUCAGUGCAAACUGAUCCAAUCCUUUUUUCACAAGUUUUUAACAAUAAUUUUUACAAGUUUGGAGCAAGAAUUUUCAUGAGAACAAAAAUUUCAACAAGAAAAACAACAAGACAAAAAGAACAACAAGAUACAACCAAUUUGAUAGGAAUAUUAACAAAAACACAGGAAGUUUAUAAAAAUACGAACUAAAUAUAGAUGUAUAUAAUAUUGCACAUGUUAUAUAAAUGUCAGUCUCGAGAUCUUCCUCUCCCUCGACGUCCUCAGCUACGUUCGCGUGCACGCCCACGUCCACGCCUACACUCACGAUCAACAUCGAGCUGAACAGAAGGUACGUCAUCAAGUGGCUCGACCUGCCAUCUGAUCGAGAUCCUCAAUAAUAAUGCCCUCAUGAUGCUCCGGAAUUGCUUGAAUCUCCUCUGGCACUGGUCGAUCACCCUCGAUAGGGGCCGGUGUAUAUAUUGGGCGGUGCUGUGAUGAUUACGGGUCGCGACGAUGAGAAUACACAGAUCUAAAAUACGCACGCAACACUGGUGGCGGAAGUGAAUAAAACAUCGAAGGAAAUGUCGAAGGGGCGUUGGGCAUUGCUCCAACGUCAGUGGGAGAUGGAGACCGUGACACUUGCUCGCUCGAUGUCAAAUGAGAUCGAAUAGGAGACGGAGACCGUCGCAUCUGAUGGCCUGAUUUCGAGGCGUGAGUAUAAUCUCGUGUUAGAAAAUUGCGUACGGUAAAAACGCAGCGGAAAAAGAAAUCAAACAAAUUUGAUUUUGAAAACUCUCGACAUCCGAUCUCAAAAACCACUCAAUUAGGAUCCCUCAUGUUCUUUAAGAUUAAAAGAGAAAAGAAAGAUCGAAUCUUUAUCUUUUGCACGGGUAGAUCUUCACCUCAAUUUGAUGAUCAUGGAGUUGGGUUCUCUUAGAGCCGCACACGCGCCCGGCCUCUAUAGGUAUCCACACGAGGUUGAUGAUUUGAUCGAUGUCCUCACCGGGGUGCUAGCUCCUUUGCAAAGGACGUCGUUCUUGCUAGAAGAUGGAAGAGAGAGAAGAAGAGAUAACGGCUAGGGUUUUCUAAAAACUCCCGUAUAUAAUAUAGAGAAAUAUAUAAUCCUCUUUUUAAUAAUAAAUAACCAUUAAGGAUAAGUACAAAUGUAGAUUUAAAUUUAUCCUUUUCUUAAUUAGUUAGAUCGAUCAAAUCCUAAUUUGAUUCGACUUAAACUUUAUCUUAAUUUGAUCAUAUCAAAUUAAUAAUGCAACAUUUGUACAUAAGUCCUCUCACAAUUUGCUAACUAUUAGUAAGUCCUCUCUUGUAACAUUUACACUUUAAUACGACUAAUUUGUAAUAAUUACAAAUUAGUCCAAUUAUCAACAUAUUGACAAUUAGGUUUUCCGGCGAUUCAAUAAUCGCAAUCUAGCUAUCCGAUCAAUCACAACUUCUUAUGUGUGUGACCCCAUAGGUACUAUUCUAUCUGGUAAGAUAUAUUUUGAUCACUAUCAAUAAUAUCACUGAAACUCCUUUCAGUGGAUCGGAACAAUUCCAACUCAGCCCAAUAAGAAAUAUCGAUAAUCUAGAUAAUCCUCAUGAGUCUCACAAUCCACCAGUGACGCCUAGCAGCAUGUAGUGGUAUUCCAGUAGAAUGGAAUACUGAACCUCUUGAUGCAGUUACCGUGUGAUACAGUUCUUCUAUAAUGAGUCCCGACUAGACGGAGGUCAUGGAAUUGUUAGAUAUAUGCCCUAGAAGCCAACCAGGCCGACACAUGUAUUCCUUCUAAGACAUAAAUUUGUAUUUGACUUUAAAAUAUUAUGAAUAAAUUUCGAUUAUUAUUUCCAUUCAUGUUGUGUAUGUGUCCAUGAAUCGUCCAAGGAAUUAAUAAGAUGAUGACAUAUAUUCUCAAGAGUUGAGAAUUUGAGACAUGUGUCAUUGGUGGUGAAUUCCUAAAUGCUCGCGAUCAAUGGACCAUCGCGGGGACGGUGAUUGAUCCAAUGAGAUUGGUGCAUAGGUCGCUUCCCUUUUGGGUAGACGAGUUUCGAGUCGACAGUGUGGGGACACUGAAGCGAAUAUGCAGGUGGCUGUUAGAGAACAAGGGUACCGAGCGUGACCAACGCGAGAAGUCACUUGAAUGUCUACUCACUCGUCAGUGACUUACUCAAUUGUUGCAGUAGUGUGACUGGUCCUUUGACCUGCGGUGCCUCGGCUAUUCACAAUGAGGUUACUGUAGUUUGACUGUACAUACACUUGGUCCCUAGCCAUUCGGGUCCUUGCGGUGCAUGUUGGCUGCAGUAGGUUCAUUGUAGGAAUAGGGUGCGCACUUAGAUGGAAUCUAUCUCCCUUGGUAGAUAGGGGUGUUAGUCCUAUGUGAUUUAUGAGACCAAGUUUAGAAGACCUUGGCCAGGGCAGAAUAAAUAGCGGAAAAGGGUUUCCGAUAUUAGAAACUCGAGUCAAAUAAAUUUAACAUAUGACAGACGAUGGGGUUUGACAAGUUAUUCCAUAACCUCCGUCUAGUCAGGACUCAUGAUAGAAGGAUUGCAUCACACAGUAACUGCACCAAGAGGUUCAUUAUUCCAUUCUACUGGAAUGCCACUACAUGCUGCUAGGCGUCACUGGUGGAUUGUGAGACUCAUGAGAAUUAUCUAGAUGAUCGAUAAUUCUCAUUGGGCUGAGUUGGAAUUGUUCUAAUCCAUUGAAAAGAGUUUCAGUGAUAUUGUUGAUAGUGAUCAAAAUAUAUCUCACUACUAGAUAGAAUAGAAUCUAUGGGGUCACACACAUAAGAGGUUGUGAUUGAUCAGAUAGCUAGAUCGCGAUUAUUGAAUCGCCGGAGGACCCAAUUGUCAAUAUAAUGAUAAUUGGACUAAUUUGCAAAUUAGUGGUAUUAAGGUGUAAAUGUUACAAGAGAGGAUUUACUAAUAGUUAGUAAAUUAUAAGAGGACUUAUGUGCAAAUGUUGCAUUAUUAAUUUGAUAAGAUCAAAUUAAUAUAAAAUUCAAGUCGAAUCAAAUUAGGAUUUGAUCGAUCUAACCAAUUAAGGAAAAGAUAAAUUUAAAUCUAGAUUUAUACUUAUCCUUAAUUGUCAUUAUAUUAUUAGGAAUAGGAUUAUAUUCCUAUAUAUAAUAUACGGGAGUUUUUAGAAAACCCUAGCCGUUAUCUCUCUUCUCUUCUCUCUUCCAUCUUCUAGCAAGAAAGACGUCCUUUUGCAAGGGAGCUAGCACCCCGGUGAGGACAUCGAUCAAAUCAAGAACCUCGUGUGGAUACCUAUAGAGGCCGGACGCGUGUGCGGCUUCAAGAGAACCGAAUUCCACGAUCAUCAAAUUGAGGGGAAGAUCUAUCCGCGAAAAAGGUAAAGAUUCGAUCUUGUUUUUCUUCUUUAAUCUUAAAACAUGAGGGAUCCUAAUUGCGUGGUUUUUGAGAUUGGAUCUCGAGAGUUUUCAAAAAUCAAAUUUGUUUGAUUUUUUUUUCCGCUGCGUUUUUACCGUGCGCAAUUUUCUAACAGUGGUAUCAGAGACAUCCUCAUAUUUUUAAGAUUAAAAUUAUGAAUUUAGGUAUUCUAAACCGUUUUUGGCCGGUAGAACGAUUUAUAGAUCGUUUUUGGCUAAUUCGAAAAGUCCGAAUUGAUCAAAUAACUUAAUCGACGGUUUCUUGUUUUCUAUCCAAAAAAAAAAAAUACUGUAGCAAUUACUGUAGUAUCCAUACGGAUGCUACUGUAGCAUCCGUACGGACGUCAAAAAAAAAUUUUUUAAUUUAUUUUUACAUUUUUUUUUAAAGGUUGAUUAGAUCCUUUUUAAAGAUAAAAGAUAAAGAAAGAUCUAAUUUGAUUAGAUCGAUUUAAUAACUUGAUGUAAUCAAGUUGUUAUGUUUCAAGAUUAAGUUGUUGAUCAAAAUUAUAAAGAUCAAUUAGAUUGAUUGUUAUUAGUGAUUUAGUUACUAUUAUUUUUUCGAAUCAUCGGUUAACGGUUAAUUAGAAUACCCAAAGUUAUUUUUAUGUAUGAGAUACAUAUCGGUGAUGAUCAUGGAUAACGACCUAUUUCUUUUUAUUUCGACAUGUGAUGUAUGAUGUGUAUACAGAAUCCUGUAAUUUUAAAUUUGUUUAAAUUAAAGAUUAUGUAUUAGAGAUGGCUAUUGUUGUGCCUGCGUGCACAAGCCGAUUUAUUUGGAGACUUGCGUGUCUCAAUAGGUUAGAGAUAAAAGUUAUCAAAUGUAAUUAAUUUUUAUUUCAUUUGUAUUGUUGGGUUGUAUAAUGUAUGGUUGCACGUCAUUGGUUGAUCGGUUGCAAGCCUAAAAGUUCGCAAGGCCCGGAUAGAGACGAAUACUUGAUGGCAGUCGGAUCAAGGUGUUGAUAAGGAUUGGAUCAAGUUGAAGCUCCAAAUCGGAUCAAGAAGUUGAAGACAAUCAAACCAAUGACGUGUGUGUGCUUGUAAUUUAUGACCCUAAGACCCCGAUUCCGACUCAGUGGGUCGAGUCCGAAUCCACUUCUAAGAUCCAUGAUCAUCACCAGUUUAAGUACAUAGAAAUAACUGCAACAUCCUGAAAGAUAAUCGUCAUCCCACUAUGGUGGAAGUGAAAAGUCUGUGUCUUCUGUCACCGCCCAGUACUGCCACUUUGGUUGGUUCGGGCACGUACACAGACCGUUGAACGGACAAAGUUUUUCCUAUCCCCCUAAGGUGUAAACCAAAUAAGUACAUUGAAUUUCACCAGGAAAAACAACAUAAUAUAGUUCUACACGAAGGCAUAUCACAAGAGCGAAAAAAUUAAACCUAGCUAUUACAACAUUCAAUCAUCAUAAGGUAUAUACAUUUCCAACUCCCAAAUUAAUACAAUUACAAGCCUUUAUUCACAAUUACAUCAUUUCAAAUACAAUUUUCCAUUACAUCCCACAAUAGCAUUUACAAUUUUAUCUUUUCAUAUACGAGGGAAAUCUAUACAGGGUAACCUUGCUAUCUAUGGCUCUACGCCCAUGCCUCGGUCUGGUACUGCUCCGCUCAUGUUGGCUCUACAAAAUAGGGGGUGAGAACUAAAAGAAGCUCCCAGUGGAUUUGGCCGGCGACCUCGUCGAUUUUCUUACUAGGUCUAUGUAACGACCCAGCCCACUAGCAAGAAUAACUCGUUGGGCCCAACAACCGGCCCAAAAUGCUUAAGCCCAGUUAUUGUUACUAGUGUCUAAGUCUCUUAUAAACCCAAUGACAACCCCAUUCCUAUCCGAUGUGGGACUAUUGGGGUGUCAUAGACUCCCCCCGUUAAGGCCCUGACGUCCUCGUCAGUCCAAUCACACACACAGCCCAAGAUCACCAGGCGAUGUGAGACUCGUCUCGCUAGCCCGUCAUCCAGACCCUGGCUCAGCCGAGACUCGCCACACAUGUCCAGCUGGUGAACCGGCUCUGGCACCAAAUGUAACGACCCAGCCCACUAACAACAAUAACUCUUUUAUCUACUAUCAAGGCAUAAGUAGAUAAAAGAAUAAGUAAGUAAUAAUGCAACUACACUAAGGAUGUAUAGAAAUGAAAGCAACCGCUAAUAUGCCUUUACAACAAUAAGGAAUGAAUUUCAUGGUCCAAUAUGCUCGACAGUGCUCUUUUACUCACCUUUGACCAAAUUCAUUCUCAGCCUAGUUAGGGGCUUUCCACAAGACAAAGCCCAACUUACCCCUCUCAGCCACGUGGGGACUAGCUCCACUAUUCUGUCGCCCACCUCGGGCUGCUCACAAAGGUAGCAUGAUUGAUCCGUCACCCAACAUGUGACUCCACUAUCCUCACUCUCUCCACAUUAUGCAAUAAAUGCAAUAGGGCAUAGGAUACUGUCACGUCCGGGCCCAGCGGAAGCCUGCCCGACGAGCGCACAGACCUGCCGGUACACCACAGAACCCCGAUGCGUACAAGGUGUCUACUAAAACAAGAAAUGAACAAAAGUAAGAUCCUAACAAGGCUAUUAGAGCGAGUAACAUAAAAUCACAAAGAGUCUACAACGUGAACAUCCACAAAGUAAACAAAGAGUAUAUACAACUGAAUCCAAAAGACUAAUAGAUCUCUAAACAUGUACAUAAUACAUCUUUUCCACAGAUACAAAAGGAAAGACGACAUCGGGUCCAACUAUAAUAACUCCGUAGAGACUCUAGCUAGUCACUAGCCCCUUGCCACGAUCCCUAGCCUCUCCCGCCGCCGAAGGCUCUGAAAUAAAAACCAACAACCAAUGGGGGUGAGAACUAUUAAACAAUAGUUUCCAGUGGGUAAGCCGCCGAGAGUGGCGAAAUACACAACUAGGUCAACCGAGGCAUGCUAUAAUAUGGUAAGUAAACAACAUAAGGAUAACAAGUAAUUUAAACAGUUUCAUUUCAAGUCAUACCUCUACUUGAUAAAAUUAACUAUCAUGUACAUGAUGCUCUAAUAUCACAUGUUCAUUUAUAUGCCAAUGCCGGUUUACAUGCAUGUUCAAUUUACUAUAAUGCCAUACAAAGUAAAUUAUACCUUUCAUUGUCAUUCCAACCAUACAUCUAUACUAAUCCACAUAGGUGUAGAUUUAGUCCACUAAGGUUGUCAAUGUAAUAAUGUCCAACUACUAUGAAUGCAUCAAAUAGUAAUAUAAGGUAGCAAAUCACAAGUAUGUCCAUCUACUACAUAUGCAUUAACCACGGUGAUGUACAAUGUCAAGUUAAGUCUCAAUACCCAAUUUACGAGGGACUUACACGUGGUAACAUCCCGGCUCGUGUCAUGCCUAAUGGCUCCAUGGUAGUAUACCUUCCCACGGCAUCCCACUUCGGCGCUCAAUCCCAUACGGGUAAUCUAUUGUCGCAAGGCUAACUUCGAAGUGCUGGCUUGUAAGGAGCAACCCUCACAAGCAUGUGGGAAUGAGCACAAGGACAAGCAAGCGUGAUCAUAGUAUAUGGUCCACAAUUUGGAUACUCAAUCAUCAUAUCUAAAACAUGAAAUUUCACACAUCGACUCGACGGUCGGGUACUAGAUCGUUCAUGUCAUGUCUCGUUUACAAUUACUUGGGUGGUAUGUCCCUACCAACACAUAAUAUGCCUAAACCAUACAUAGUUCACAAGUCAUUAUCCUACCUAGGAUAGUUUCACUCUUUUGUUCAAGACUCCAACGAGGUUUCAUAACAUGCAAUUCCAACAAUUCUCAAGAGAAACAUUUACUAAUGCCAUAUGUAAGAGAGUAUAAUAAUGUCUACAAGAACCACAAUGCAUGUCAUGCAUAUGCUUUUCUACCAAGGUCCUCACUACAUGGAGUAGAAGUAUUAUCAUGCAAGCAAUUCCUUCCACUAGUAUUAUAUGCCAUUAUCCCUAUUAGGGUUCGCCCCAAGGGCUUGUAAUCUCACUUCCUCAUGUCUAAAACAUAUAAUACAAACUAUAUCUCUAGAUCUAAUACCAUGUCAUAGCAUUAAGUUCUAGUUGUUCAACUAUGUUAAAUUGUCACGCCCCGCAACCACCAAUUUGGCUGGUUCGGGCGCAUCAAAUAGACGCCGAACGGACAGCACCUCCCUUGUCCGCCCAAGGCUAAAAUAACGAGAUCAUGUACAAACAAGUGCCCAGGAAAACUUAGAUACAUACAUGAUCAAUGAAAGCGAGUAAUUUAACAAGUAUACACAAGAGCAAGUAAAUAAUACCACAAGUAAACAAACGAGAGAGUUCUAUCUAUUACAUCACAUUCGACCAUUUAUAUUUUUUGAUUUACAUUUUUAUCUCCAAAAUGAAUACAAGUUCAUCUCAACAUCUAGAUACAUAUGUAGCUCUCCAAAAUCCUUUCCAACAUAUACAUCACCUAUGUACACGAGGGUACUCUAGUACAAAAGGAAAGCCACUACUAGCUAACUAGGGCGCUAUGCCCUUACCGCGAUCCUCCCCCAGAGCGCUCGAACUUGGCCCUGCAACAAAGUGGGGUGAGAACUAUAUAAAUAUAGUUCCCAGUGGGUUCGGCCGCCGACUCCGCCAAUCUUCCCACUAGGUCUAAGCAGGCAUAAGUAGAUAGAUAGAUAGAUAUGCGGAAAUAAACUACUACAUAGUAAUAAAAGCUGCAACAUACUACUAUGCCUCGAGAAACAAGUAAUGAAUGAAUAUAGCCAUGUAUUCCACUAACAUGCUACUAGNCUAGGUCUAAGCAGGCAUAAGUAGAUAGAUAGAUAGAUAUGCGGAAAUAAACUACUACAUAGUAAUAAAAGCUGCAACAUACUACUAUGCCUCGAGAAACAAGUAAUGAAUGAAUAUAGCCAUGUAUUCCACUAACAUGCUACUAGGCCUCUACAUCAAAUAUGAAUGCAACAUUUACUAUGCUCAGAAUGCAUAUCUCUCAUAAAGUCAUUACCCAAUCCAUUUGGCUAACCCGAAGGUUACACCCCGACUCAGAUCUCAAAUCUCAUAGGUGAAGAGCUACCCUGCUCUUCGCACGACUCACAUCUCGAAUGCAAUAGGUAAAGAGCUACCCCGCUCUUCACCCCGACUCAGAUCUCCAAAUCUCAUAGGUGAAAAGCUACCCUGCUCUUCGCCCCGACUCACAUCUCAAGUCUCAUAAGUGAGGAGCUACCCUGCUCGUGUCCCACCCGGUGAGGAGCUACCCCGCUCGUGUGACAACUCCGCAGUGCACUGCUUGUGUGGAGCGACCACCCCAAACUUAAAACAAACUAUGUGAGUAUGAUCCAAUCCUCGCCAACUGAGGAUACCUUGUCAACUAGGGUUAACAAACACUCCGGAAUCCACCUAUCCCUAUGUUCAAUGCCAUAGUGUCUCAACUACACUAAGUGUCACGCCCCGACACCCGCCUAUUUGGUCGGAUUCGGGCACGCAAACAGACCGCUGAACGGACAGUCUUCCCUGUACAUUCAAGGUGUCGCAAUCAAUACAAUACACGAGGUUCUAACUAGGAACAGUAUUCAAGCAAAGAUUGCAUAAGGAAGUAUCAAAUAACAUAAAACAACUAGUUAUUACAAGCAUUCACCUUAGAUGCAUUUUACAUCACAAUUACAUAUUACAUUUUUCAACUUCCAAAUACAAUCCGAGUUGCUACAAUUUAUUACAAGUUUGUUUCAUUCGUUUCCAACCCCUAAGCUAGACCACCUCGGGGUACCGCUAUCUCUGGUCUCGGGGUAGGGCGCUAUCUACGGAGCUACGCCCUUUCCUCACGCCGCCGCGCCGCUCACAUGUGAACCUGUACCCCCAAAAACAACACGGGGGUGAGAACUAUUGUCCAUAGUUCCCAGUGGGUACAGCCACCCAAGGAAAAAGCUAGACCCACCAGGUCCGAAGGAGGCACUGCAACAUGUUAGUCCAAAAACAUCCACAGAUAUAUAUAUAUCAUCAUGUAAUUAUGCAACUAACAAAUAUCAUGCCUCACAACAUGCAAUAUGAACAUUAUGCAACUACGCAAUCAACUAGUAGAUCCAUUGAUACUACAUUCAAUUUUGUUAUCCAUGACUGAUGUCAUCUAGCUUCUAAGGUUUCUACUACCUUAGGUUCACAACUUAAGUCCAACUUGCUACUAAGGUUCCACUUCUUUAGCUCUUGCCAUUAACACUUGCUUUUAAAGGUUUCUACUACCUUAUCCGAGCUAUCCACCCGACUCGGUCUCGAGUCAAUCAUUCGCGGACUACGGCGCACUGGCUGCUACAACAGCCCACUGCGCUGAUUGACUUAGCCAUCUGGCGGCGAAAUCGUCGCACACGCCGAACAAUGGCUUUAAGUCAAUCCUGAUGGCAUAAUCCACAAGCCGGCUUAACCAUCUGGCGACGAAAUCAUCGCACAUGCCGAACAAUGGUUCAAGCCUCCGGGUGGUGAACUCUGCGCACUCACCCGUUCCCCUUGGUAUCAAUCUCGGCGGCGAAAUCGUCGCACACGCCCUAACCUUGAUACCAAGGUCACGACAAGUCCUGGGAUUCCGGAAUCCACUUUCCACAUCUCACGGGUUACCUGCAACCCUAUAAUGUCGACCUAUCUAGGUUCGACCCAUAAACAUCCUAGUGGCUAUUACCACUAUAGUCCACAACCUAGGUUCAACCACGUUAGGUUUUAUGUCAUCUCUACCUAGAUCUCGACUCUAGGUUCACUUGUUCAACCUAUGUUCACGACAGUAGGUUCAAUGCCAUUCAAUCUACUUGAUAUUCUACUUGUCCAUUUCGAGUAAUAUAGCCCACAUGCUCUUGUUUUCCAAUGUCAACUUCUCUAAUCAACCUAGAGUUAUCGACCAAGUUCACAUCUAUGUGAAUCGAGCAUAUUCUACACAUGUCAACAUGCAAUGUCAUCUAGUAUAUCCUCACAAUGUUAAUCAUGCAUUCAUCUAGCAUUUCUAUGUUAUGUUCAUCAUGCAUCCAUCUCAAUGGUAGGUAAUGACAACCAAGCAUAAUAAGAUUCAUGCAUCUACAUUAUCAUAUGCCACCUACCAAUCAUACAUAUAUGCAUUUCAUCUAGCAUUGUCACAAUAUAAUCAUCAUGCAUCCAAUGGUAGUCUAAUAUAGUAUUUACCUCAUGCAUUCUUAUGUUAUACAACUAGCUACCAUUAUAUGCAUCAAUUAAUAAACAUCACUUCGCUUCGACAUGGAAGCGAGCUAAACAUUUCGGUGAGCACAACCCACCUCAAAUGGCUUUCCGAUUGCUUGUAGUCACUUGCAAUCAGCCUCCCGCGGCACUCGUUGUCCGGUUCGGCCCGAUCUUGCGAAUAACCACCAACCGUACAUCAAUCCGCGGCCUCGGAUUUUAAAGGUCUAUAACUUGAUGCCACGAUGCUAGGAAUCCGUUUUCGUGAUUUUUGGACGCCACCUCGGCAUUCUAAGCGAAAAUGAAGCCAAAACAUCCUUUUCUUCAAUAUCUUCAUGUAGGCUCGGGGAAUCGCCGAACCGACUUCACCAACGCGUCAGAAUACCUAGCAAUUUGGUUUACAUGGGUCUAAUUUAGAUCAAACCCUUAUAUUUACAAAAACCCUCUUUAGAACUCUAGGUUUCAUAUAUUGCAAGAAUUCAUCAUAUAGCUUCUUGAUUCAUGCAAUAAUCCAACAUCCAGCAUCUAAGGGUUCCAUCAAAACCAAUUCUAGAGCAUAUAAAUAAAGCCCUAACAAUCUACCAUUAAAACUCCAAAAGCUUACCUCUCAAGCUUUCUCGAAACACAAGGAAGAAGAUGAAGAAGAUGAAGACUCACUCCUUCAAGCUUUCUUCUUCUCCUUCUCCUUCUUCCUUUCCACCUUGAAGAGAGAGAGAAAAGAGCUUUAGAGAGAGAGAAGGAGAGCUUUGGGUUCUAAUGGUGUGAGGGAGAGAGGAGAAAGAGCUACAAAACCCCUCUUUUAACUCCCACUCAGCACAAUUGCUGAAAACCCCCUCAACUUCUCCAUUCAUGGACAGCUCGAACUGGGUUGCUUUCGGGUACGGGGACCGGUCCUUGGCUGGAGGGACCGGACCCCGUAGGUCCAAAACUCCAGCAUUUUUAGGACUAAGCCAAAAUUUCAGCCUUUUCAGCUUUUGGUCCGCUUUCGUUCGUUUUUGCUCGUAGGGCCUCCAAUUCAUCUCUAAUCGUACUGAGACCACCAAUACAUGUUUUCGAGUGCAUUUAAACCAUCUUUUUAUCCACGCCUUGCCGAAUUUCGGCUAAGGUCCAAUCAUAGCUUUUUGGGUUUCGUUUUCGCGUCCGAUACGUACCGAAAACACCCGAAGGCUUCCGAACUCCACCGAAACCAUUCUAAUGGCUUUCCAAACUAACAUACACCGUAACUUCAUAAUUAUAGAAGUUCGGUAUGUUACACCCUUCCCUUCUUAAAAAGAGUUUCGUCCUCGAAACUCAAAUCAUUCUUUAAUUCGAGUUAUCGAGCAACCGAGGGUACCAAUGCACUUUUCCACUCCGGAGUGACCUUAUCCAUAUCGGAACUAUCCAAAGGUCCACUACGAAAAAUGUGAGACCAAACUCACUCACAUUUGCUAAGCACAACACCGAAAAUGCAUUACGGCUCCGCAAGUCUCGGUGGCAGCGUAAGUCGACGCUCGACGACUCUACACGCUUCAACACCACUCGCUACCAAAUCCUGGGAACACACUCCGAUUCGAUCAUCAACAUUGCUUAGAAGCAAUAUCGUUGGUAACUCGACCAAUCGCGAGUGCUCCGAUCAUAACCGGAUCUUUGCUCUACUACGAGAUGGCACACUCCGGCACAUCUCCGAUGUCAAUCCUCCAGAGAGCACUAUCUACAAAUCUGUCACGCCCCAAGCUCCGCCAAUUUGGUCCGAUUCGGGCCACGUCAAUAGACGCCGAACGGACAGUGCCUCCCCUGCCCGCCCAAGGCUCUAGCAACAAGUAUAAUUAAGCAAUCAAACAAUGAGAUUUGCAAUUAUACAAGGCUUGCACGAGGGCAAGCAACAACGAGAAUGAAAGCUCUAAUCUACUACAAGCAACCACAUACAUAAUAUUUCAUUACAUUUUAACCAAAUACAAGUAAACUAAUACUAUUACAUUCAUUUUUACUUUCAUUCAUAAUUUUUUUUACAUCAUAAUCAUCCAACCCCAAAAUAUAUGAUUGUUUACAACUUUUACAUCACUUGAUCAACAAAAUAAAAGUUGAUACAUGAACAAAAGGGAAUGACUAAGAUGUAAAUACUCCGGUGGCCACUAGCUAUGGCGCUAUACCCGUGCCUCGAUCCUCCGCCGCCCCGCUCGCGCUCGGAUCUGUAGGGUUAGUGGUGUGAGAACUACAACGAAGUUUCCAGUGGGUUCGGCCACCGACCUCGCAGACUUACUCACUAGGUCUAUUUAGGCAUAAGUAUUUCAAAGAAAGAAAAUAGCAAACCAAACUAAUGCUAAUACUAUGCCUGCAAGAAAACUGUCAACAGAUAGAUAAUCAUAUGUAUGAUGAAUAUGCAUGCAUGCUCUUCCACUUUUGCCUUGGCUUGUACCCAAUUAAACCAGUUAACAUUUGUUAACUCCAACAACUCACAACUCAAUAUCCCGUCUACCGGAGGAGGCUCCAAGCACUACCACCUGAGGGACCAUCAACGGGGCACUCUCCCCGUGGUGUCUACACUCCGGAGUACACAGCUUGAGGAGGAGCUGUCACGCGCCAAGACCGCUACCAAUUUGGUCUGGUUUGGGCGUGUCGAACAGAUGCCGAACGGACAGCACCUCCCCUGUCCGCCCAAGGCCAAGCAAUGAGAUCAUGUACAAGAAUUUGCCCAGGAAAAGAAAUUUAAUACAUACAUGAUCAAUAAGAGCACCACAAGUGUUAACAAGUAAGAGCAAGAACCACAAGUGUACAACAAGUGAAUAAAGAGAGAUAUUCUAGCUAUUACAACCAUUCAACAUUAAUUCUUUUAAUUACAUUUCGAUCUCCCAAAAUGUAAUACAUGUUCACGUCCAAAAUACAUAAGUAGCUUUCCAACAUCUAUCCAAAAUAUACAUCAUCGUCUAGUACACGAGGGUACUCUAAAUGCAUAUAGGAAGCUACUAACUACUCUAGGGCGCUAUGCCCUUGCCGCGGUCCUCGCCCGGCGAACUCGUACUCGGCCCUGCAACAAAGUGGGGUGAGAACUAUAUAAAUAUAGUUCCCAGUGGAUUCGGCCGCCGACUCCGCCGAUUUUUCCACUAGAUCUAAGCAGGCACAUAUAGAUAGAUAGAUAGAUAGAUAGGUAGAAAUAAACUGCAACUAUAUCUACCCUGCCUUCAAUGAUAAGCAAUGCAUGCAAUGUCCAUUUUGCAAUAAUCUUACUAUCAUGCUAGUAUAAUGUCAUGGGUACAUAUGCAACAUAGUUAUGCAAUCUACCAACAUACACUAUGUCUACUCAAGUAUAAAUGCAAGUCCACUAUGCCAUUCAUGUUCUUUACUCAAUCUGCUUGGCUAACCCGAAGGUUACGCCCUCGACUCACUUUCAAUCUCAUAGGUGAGGAGAAUCUGCACUCGCACACCGAGACCGUCUGCGGGACAACUAUGUCUGCCCCUAUCGUGAAGUACUCCGGAGACCACUACUUGAGUGGAGCGACCACCUCAAGUGUAAACAGACUAGUAAGUAUGAUCCAAUCCUCAAAAGAGGAUACCCUAUCUACAAGGGUCAUAGUGCCUCUGCUGCACAAUUCAUAAUGCAUAAUUCAUUACUCGGGAAUUCUACUAUCCCUAGAAUCAUGUCACGUUUACUACUCUAGAUUUGAUGCCAAUCGUUCAAUCUUUGUAGUAAAUGUUUUCUACUAGUUGACAUGCCACUCGUUCAUGUUUAGUGUUUCUACUACAAUAAUCCAAAUGCCACUCUUCUAGGCUAUUACAUGUCCAAGUUCAUCUCUUUAUGCCACUAUAGGAUUCCUUGUCACAAGACCCAAUCCUCAUGCAUUCCUAGUGUCACGCCCCGAGACCGCUACCAAUUUGGUCCGGCCCGAGCGCGUCGAACAGACGCCGAACGGACAGGACCUACCCCGUCCGCCCAAGGCUAACCAACAGAUCAUGUAUAAGAAUUUACCCAGGAAUCAAUUCAUAAAUACACGAUCAAAAGCACCACCAGUGCAACAAGAGAGAAGAACUAUCUAUUACAUUCAUUUGACUUAAUACAUUCAAUUACAUCUUUUACAUUCUUCCAAAAUAUAAAUACAAUCACUCCACCUUACCCUAUACAACAUCUACUCUCAAAUACAGAAAGGGUGAUGGCUAAUGCAAAAGGGAGGUAGCUAAUGCGACUAAAGCGCCGGGCCCUUACCGCGAUCCUCCCGCUCACCGGGGACACCCGAACUCGAACCUGUGGUAAAAAAUGGGGGUGAGAACUAACUUCCUUAGUUCCCAGUGGGUUCGGCCGCCGACUCCGCCGAUCUCCCCACUAGGUCCAAGCGGGCACAAGUAGAUAAUCGAUAGAUAGAUAGAUAAAGCUGUAAAGACAGGAAAGUAAAGCCACACUACUAUGCCCAAUCAUAGAUAUAUGAAUGCAUAUCCAAUGAAUUGGUAAGCAACUAACCUGUCGUCAUAUCAAAGGUAAAGUUAUGUACUUAUUCCUCGAUCUUAUUCACUUGUUUCUUAAUCUCAUGGCUUCCCUGAGGGAGCCUACUACUCACUAGCCAUCUCGAAGGUAGGGAGGGUCAACUCGCACUACGAACCGAGACCGUCUGCCGGGGCCUAAAUAGGCAAACCCUUGGGACCCAAAAUAGGCGAUCCCACGUGACCAACAUCCAGAGCGCACUACUUGUGUGGGGCUUCCAUCACAAGAUUUAGAAACAGACCGUGAGCAUGAUCCAAUCCUCGUCUCGAGAAUACCCUAUCCUCUAGGGUUACAAUCAUCAUAUAGUCCAUAGGUUUUCCAUACGCUACUACUCAUAUGUAUCAUUUGUUCUUUUGCUUACUAUCAACUAAAUGCCACUCGUUCAUUUGUUUACUAUCAACUAGAUACCACUCGUUCUUUGUUCAUUAUUAGACCGACCAUCGAGCCCAUCACUUUCUCUGCACUAUAGGAUUCACAAGUCUCGACCCAAUCCUUAUCAAUCCACUAUAUCAAGUAUCAAUGCAUGCUACAAUAUCAUCAAGGAAAGUAUAAGGAAAGGCAAUGCACAAUCAUCCUAUAAUGCAAUAAUACAAAAUGCAAGGAUCGACGUGUACUAAGACAUAGAGGGGAGCCCGAUUGCUUCGGGAUGGACACCACCCACCUCUUGGCGAUGCCACGAUGGUAGAAAACUCGACGUGGUGGCCUUUGCACGUCGCUUUAACUCCUCGGGGCGAAGCGAGCCCUCGAGUAUCCAAUUCGGCGAUAACUCCGCACUCGCUCGUCGGAUCGGCAAACCGUCUUCGCCGACGCGUUCAGAGACCUAGCAAUUAGGUUAGCGACCCAACAAAUUAGAUCAAAACCCUAGAUAUGCCAAAAUCCCAAUUCUACGCCCUAGGUCUCAACAACGGAGAAAUCCGUGGUGCGAGCUUCAAUUUCGAGCUCGAACCUUCUACUUAUCCCUAAUAGGUUCCAUUUGAACCAAUUCUAAGCAACAAAACCCAACCCUAAGAAAUCUACCAUGAGUGGGUUUGGAGCUUACCUCUAAGCCAAGCUCCAAGUUGCCCUAGGUUGGGGGAGAGAGGGAAGAAGAGGAUCUUCUUCUUCUUCUUAGUCUUCUCCUUCCUCUUCUUCUUCUUUUCUUUCCUUUCUUUCUUCUCCUUCUUCUUCUCCUUUCUUUUCUAGAGAGAGAGGGAAAGAGUGUGAGAGAGAGAAAGAGCAACUGAGGGAGAGAGAGGGGUCCCCAAGCCCUAUUAAAGGCCAUUUUGCAAAUAGCCCCCUCAACUUUUCAUCUUUAGAAUCAGCCCUCUCUGGGCAUUUUCGCAGUGAGGGACCGGUCCCAGCUCGGGGAGACCGGUCCCCGAAGGCUGCCAUAUCGAGCAGAGGGGAUUUCGCGUUCGGGAACCGGUUCUUGCUUGAGAGACCGGUCCCCGGGAGACCGGUCCUUGUCCGAGAGACCGGUUCCCGAAAGUUGAGUUUUCGGGACUUAGCCAAAUUUCGGCUAUUUCGCUGGGCCAACGUUCGGGAACCGGUCCCUCACCACCAGGGACCGGUCUCAUCAGAGACCCCCGCAGCCCAGCCUGAUGGAACCGGUCCCUCCCUGCCAGGGACCGGUCCCCGAGAGCAUUUCUGCUCCAGUGCAAGUUUUGCACUUGGUGCUCUCGCGGGCCCUUCCUUAAUGCACUUUAUGCAUUAUAAACACCUUCGGACUUUCCGAAGCCUACGCACUCGACAACUAGUCGAUUCUGGUCGAAGUCUAAUCCUCGAGUUUCGAGAAUUCACUUCCUUACACCUAGUCCAUGUGUCAAGCCUACAAUGCUACACUACUAAGAAAGCAUGCAAAGAAUUAGAAUUGCAACUAUCUACUAAUCCUAUAAUGCCUAAUAUCAAUACAUAUAUGAACAUGGUAAACAUAUAGAACUUAGACAUAAAAGGAAAUCCGGUUGCUUCGGGAUGGACACCCCCCACCUUCUUAUGCUACCAAAAGGCUAGGGUUCCGAUUUCGUGAUUUUUAGAUGCUUCCUCGGCGUUCCAGGUGAAAACGAAGUCAAAAACGGGUUUUUUGCCAAUAUCUCUUCGUAGCCUCGACGAAUAGUUAAACCGAGUGCACGAACGCGUUCGUAGACCUAACAAUUAGGUUAGAGAGAGGUCAAUUGAGAUCAAAAUCCCUCACAAGCAAAAGCUCUUUUUUGAACCCUAGGUUUCUACUCAUGAGAAAUCCCAUGCUACAAUCUUAUGAUUCAAGCUCUAAUCACCUAUUUAGCAUGCUAGGAUUCCUCUAAAACCAUUUCUAGAGUAAAAGCUUCAAACCCUAGAGAGCUACCAUGAGAGAAUAUAGAAGCUUACCUCUACCAAGCUUCUACUCCAAGCUAAGGAAGAAGAUGGCAAUGGAGGUCCUCUCCUUGGUCUUCUUCUCCUUCCUUUCCUUCUUCUCCUUCCUCUUCUUCUUCUUUUCCUUCCUCUCCUUCUUUUCCUUCUAGAGAGAGAGAGAGAGAGAGAGAGAAAGUGUGUAUGUGUGUGGGUUGGAGGAACAUGAGAGAAACAGAGAGGAAAAAUGCCCACUUAACCCCUCUCAUGCAACAUUUGUAUUUACACCCCUCCACUUUGCUUCCUUUGCCCUGCCCAGACUAGGUAGAUUUCGGGUGCGGGGACCUGUCCCUCUAUGGGAGGACCGGUCCCCGAGAGCUGCCUCACAUGCAGAGCCCUCUGGCCAACCCUUUCACGCGUUCGGUGUAAUGUAUCACAUCCCCGUAAACCGUGCCGAGUUCCGUCGAAAUAAGCGGAACGCGGAGUUGGGCGAGUUAAAGUGCUUUACAAUGGGUUCUAUGGGCAUUAGAACCAAUGUGUAGGGUAAAGGGACCCGAGAGAGUGAAUUCUGAAAAAUGGCUAAGUCCCAAAGUUUUGGACUCUCGGGGACCGGUCCCUGAAAGAGAGACCGGUCCCCGCACACGCAGCCAGAGAAAAGAGAGAAAAAUCAGCUAAGUCCUGGAAAUACCCCUUUCAGGAAGGGGUCCUUGGUGGAAAGACCGGUCCAAUUGAGACCAGUCCCUGGUGGGGAGACCGGUCCCCGUAUGCGAAAAUUGCCCAGGCUGGGCUGUUGUGAAUAGUUCAAAGUUGAGGGGGUUUUUGGUAUAUGUGUUAAGUUGGAUGUAUUUGAGAUUGAGGGAUGAGCUUUUCCUCUCAUUUUCUCAACCCUAACCCUAAAACACAUCUCCCUCUCUCUCUAAAACCCUCUUUCUCUCUCUCCUUCUCUCUAGAGCUUGGAUCAAAGGGAGGGAUUUGAAGGAGCAAAGUUGGAGUAGAAGCUUCCCAAGGUGGUGGCUAGCUUGUGCAAGAGCUUUUGGAGGAAAGCUUUGGAACUCUAAGGUGAGUUUCCAUCUUUUGAGCUAGGGUUUGGUCUUAUGCUUCUAGUAGUAGCAUCUAGGAGCUUCUAUGAGGGUUUUUCUCCAUAGUAUACGUGCUAGGGACCUAUAAUGGAGAAGAUGAUAUUGUUAAGGGACCCAAAAUUGGGGUUUUGUAAUUAUGAGGUCGAAGCGUGGGAUUGAUCUCCUUUUUACCUAAUUGGUAGGUCAACGCACACGUUGGUGCGCUCGGUUCGGCGAUACGACGGGCGUACGCGGAGAUAUUGAGGAAACAAGCUAAGUUGGUACAGUUCGUCGCAGUUGUGGCGUAGGAGGCUAAGUAAAUUUCAAGAAAUUGCAUUUCGGCAUCCUUGUAACACGAAUAGGUGGGGGGUACUAUCCGGAAUCAUCGAAUUCCCUUCUAUGUCUAAGUCACUUUAUAUUGAGCAUAUCUGUAUAUUCCAUUCAUGCAUAUAGGGUAGAGAAUAUGUGAUUGUUGGUUGAAAACUCAGUUAUAUGCUUCUAACGUAUUGAACAUAUAAAUUGAUAUCGAACCAUGAGGACUAUGUAUGUUGAACCCUAUAUGUGUGAGAAUGUGAGAGUUGGACUAUGAUAAUAGUGAACAAAGGUGACAUUGACAUUAGCGCCGAGAUUGGCUUUGAGUGGUGAGAUGUUGGACUUGAUCUAACCUAUUGCGGUAUUGUGGCAAAUAUAUCCUAGAGAAUGGGGUAAAUGACAAGUUAAGAACCUAAUGGUUCAUUGUGGCAUUGAGGCAAGUGGCAUAUGUGGCUAUCGUUCCCAAAGCGGGAAUUGGAUCAUACUCACAUCAGUCUUGGCUCUAGGGCGGUAGCUCCCCCUCGAGCGGUGCUUUCCGGAAAUGACACCACUGGGAGAGAGGUCCCAGAAGACGGUCCCUCGGGUAGUAGUGCUUGGAGCGUCCCCGGAUGAUAGGGAUUUUGUAACAUACCAGAUUUUGGUAUAAAAAUAAAAAUAAAUAAAAAUAGUGUGAGAUACUAUUUUUAUUGAAUUUAGAGGAGUAAAAUAUAAGUCAGAAGUGACUUGUGCUGAAAUCGGAAUGAAAACAGAAAAUCUAGAAUUUUCUGUUGGAAACGAGACAGAUAAAUUAGCAGAAAAUGCAGUCUCAGAAAAUUAUAAAAAUUGGAGGUAAGUCAGAAAUAUUUUUAUGAGACUAGAUUUAAAGUUUCAUAUUUUUCUGACACCCGGAAGGUGGAAAAUAAAAUUCGACAGCUAUCUAAUAAAGAUUACAGUUCGGUACAGUUUUCGGUGACCAAAUGGGGUCGAAAUUGAAAAUUUAAAAUAUAUUCUUACUCAGUAUGUUAAACUGAGCAUGUCUGUCAAAUUUGAGCUCAAAUGGACAUUCAGAAGGGCUCCAACUGUUCCGAACUGCUAAACUGCCUAGAGUGAAUAGUGUUGAGGGGCUAUAAGUGUAUAAGAAGCACUUGCUUCUUCUUCCUCCUUCAGCCGUGCACACCCACACACACCUCACGCACGCAUGGAGAGAGGAGAGAAACUGUCCUUUCUCUCUCUAAAGAUCUCUCUAAUCUCUCUAUAUCUCUCGCUCAAAUUCGCGGCGUUGGCGGAGAAGAUGCUCGCGAACGCGUUGGGAGCGACGGAUCGAGCUUUCGUGCGCCCGUUGGAGCGGCGUGUUUUCGUCACGGCGUGCUCGCGAACGCGUUGGGAGCGACGGAUCGAGCUUUCGUGCGCCCGUUGGAGCGGCAUGUUUUCGUCACNGGCGACCUAGUCGCUUCGGUAAGCACAACCCACCUUAGUUAGCUUUCCGAUUGCUCGUCGACACUUGCAAUCGGCCUCCCGCGGCACUCGGCACCUGUUUGGGCCCGAUCUCACAGUGACUCCCCAAGAGCGCGCCGCCUCGCCGUUUCGAACGUCAGCGACCUUCGCCUUGCCACUACGGUGCUCGGGACCCGUUUUCACGAUUUAUGGACGUCGCCUCGGCCUCCCAGGCGGAACGAAGCUCCGAGCGCCCGUUUCUUCAAUAUCUUCGCAACGACUCGUCGGAUUGCCGAACCGACUUCGCCAACGCGUUUCGUUACCUACCAAUUAGGUUAACAAGGGGUCAAAUGAGAUCAAUCUCAUCUAUUUACAAAAACCCUACAUGGAUGCCCUAGGAUGCCCUCAUCACCAAAACCACCAAAUCGAUCUAUGAAAUGGGGUGAAAUCAUCUUAAUAGCAUGCUAGGGUACCGCUAAAUCCAUUUCUAAGGUUUUAGAACCCAUCUCAAAGAAAUCACCAUGAGAAGCCAUGAAACUCACCUCUCCCAGAGCUCCAAGGGGAAGAAGAAGAUGAAGAGGAUGAUGAUGAUGAUGAUCCUCUUCUUCUCCUCCAUCUUCUCCUUCUUUUCCUCCUGUCUUUUCCUUUCUUUCUUUUUUUUCUUUCCCUUUUUCCUUCUUUCCCUGCUUCGCACGAUCAGAGAGAGGGAGAGAGAGAAAGAGGCUGAGGGAGUGAGAGAGAGAGAGAGAGAAAUAUCCCUCUCUAAUACCCUCUCACAUAUUGUAACAAUAUCCCCAGAGGCCCCUCAACUUUUCACCUCUUACAUAGCCCUCUCUGGGCAUCCUGCGCGCGGAGGGACCGGUCUCCCCGACUUGGGACCGGUCCCCGGGGCCUCCCCCCGCGGACACACGUUCGGGAACCGGUCUCUCCCUGAGGGACCGGUCCUCGGGAGACCGGUUCCUCUCAGAGAGACCGAUUCCCGAGAGCGAUACUGUAAGGUACCGGACUUCUAAAGCUAUGAAGUUACGGUGUACAUUUAAAUGGUUCCGGUGCAGUUGCGGUGUAAUGUAACAUACCGGAUUUNNNNNNNNNNNNNNNNNNNNNNNNNNNNNNNNNNNNNNNNNNNNNNNNNNNNNNNNNNNNNNNNNNNNNNNNNNNNNNNNNNNNNNNNNNNNNNNNNNNNUGAGUUCAGUCUUAUAUCUCCAAUUAAGUUCUCUAAAGCUUCCCAAUAGCCAACUCAAGGAUGACAGGCGUUCGAUUACUCCCGCCUGCGUCAACACCAACACGACAACAUCUAAAAUAUCAUUAUAAGCAAAUAAGGUCGGAAUUCUUGGCGAAUUCAGUUUCUAACUGGAUCUUGUCUGCUUACCUCAGGAUUAGAAUAACUUUCCAAAAUCCAGUCUUCUAAAAUACAAGUUCAUCUCGAACGAGACUCGGAAGUAAACCUGCUGCGAGAGAAAAUUUCAAAUUGCAUGCAAUAAUCGCGUAUAGUUCCUGGAUUAAGCUUCAUAAAUGGCUAAUAUAUUCCCUAAAUUCUUCAAAGAGGCUUAUCCAUUGUCUAUGAGAGGUUAAUCACCAGCUAAUUAUCUUCAUUUUAUAUGCUGAAAUCUCAGUCCUAGCUCAGCAAAAGCAAAAACCCGAAUUAUUACUCAAAUCGACGAAUAGAAAUCUUAAUAAUGGAAAAAUGCGAGUCCCGAUAUACCUCCUGCUAGGCUUCACAAGUGAACUACGUGGUUUAGAGCUGUCGAAAAUCUCUCACAAACAAUCCCCAACGUCCAUGUAGGCUCGCAACGGUCGCAACCAGGCUGAAGACCACGCAUGCGAGAAAACGAGCGAAAUCUGGCGAAUCUCAGGUAGAGAGAGAAUAAACCCUAGAGAGAGAGAGAGAAGAGGCAAAAGAACUCUUUGCUGAGCUGCUACACACUUCCACUGAAGUCCAGAGUCGUUGCUGGAUCUAAAUAGUGAGAAGCAGAUGUGAAAUUAUGCAAACUAACCUUGCUGGCCCGAAUCUGCCAGCUUGUACCGGGUACAAGUAGGGCUGUAACUGGUGACAGCAAGCGGAAAAAAUCUGAUUUUCCGUCAUUUCAACGCAGCUUUUACUUAGCAUUCAAUGAUUCGUCUAACUAUCCGAAAAACUUGUUCUAGGAACUUUAGAACAUUAGGUAAGUGAUCCACAAGAAUCCAUUCCAACAUACAUCGAACUCCGCAAUUUGCAAAAGUCAGCUAUAAUUACAUUCACGACCUCCAAAAAAAAGUUCGUCCGCAAACUUGUGAAACUUACCUCCACACCAGCUCACUCUUCCGUGAGAAUAGUAGGGAUAAUGCUGCUUGCAUUGCAUCUCUUCCCAGUUCCCCCCAAUCGUGGCUCUCGUUCUCCGUGAUUACUCCCAAAGGAUGCCUUCACUAGGCGUAUCACUCGGCAUUUCGAAGUCCGUUUUACUUCGAUGUAGUAUUUUUUGCACUGGAUGUUCCUCAAGCUCAAAAUCUUCUCGUAACUGUAGCUGGAGUACUCUCCAAGAAUAGUCGAAUCAAAACAUACUUCCGCAGCUGUAGAAACAUUGAAAUACCUUAUUCACGCCAGACAAGUUCGGCGCGAGUACGCAAGCCGAACACGAGCCUACUCGCGUCCAACACCUGUCGUAAGGUUCUAAUAAAUGAGACUCAAUUUCCUCGAAUACCAAUCUUAACUCCUUUCGUCGGGGAAGAACUUUAGGAAUAUCAUGAAUCGCCAACGUUGAAAUUCCAGUUCUCCGCCGGACGUUUAUCCGCAUAGCUCUUUUGUCGACUUUGUGCUGUCCAGUAAACUUUCUCGCCAGGUGCACGUCGAACUUCUAGCUUCAGCCUCUUGUAAUCACGUCUCGGACACCAAUCCAUCUCUCACCAGCACUUCACAUCCUAAUGAGUGGUGAUCUCACUUCUACUCAACCCUAAAGGCUCUCAAAAGGUGCCAAUCUGACAUACUGCUUGAUAAUAUUGUUAGUAUAGCAAUAUUCAGCCAUGCGUAAGAAACUAGUGCUCAACUAACCCUGGUAAAUCAAUCAACAGCCCGCAACAUUAUCCUCAAGGUCUGGAUGGUACGCUCAGACCUGCCAUCCCCCCCACUCUGGGGUGGAAAAGCAGUACUAAAAUCCGAAAUCGAGUACCCAAUAGCCUCCUUUAGCUCUUCCAGAAAUGGGAAACAGAAUCGGGUGUCUCGAUCUGAAAACAAUCGAAGCAGUACUCGUGUAUCGCACAUUUCACAAGAUACAUUUGUGGCGAGUUUUCCCCCGACCACACAGUAUAAUUGAGAUAAAGUGGGCAGAUUUAGUCAAUCGAGUCGACAAUUACCCGAAAUUGCAGGUCGUGACUUGCUUGUGACGAGGGAGAGCCAACGACUCGAAAUAUCCAUAGUGAUCUCUCUCGCCACUUCCACAAUGUAUGGGCAAACUUUGUAUUUCCCCGCAGCGUCGAUGUAUCAGCUUAACUCCUGCCUUGACACGUAUAGCCACUACCACGAAUCCGCAACUUCCUUUUUUCAUCCAGGCACACAGUAAUUAACUCAAUCCUUAUACAAUUUUUGUAGCUACAGAGUGUACAUUAAUACGCCGCCCGAUGUGCUUCUGCUAAGAACUCUUCUUUAAUACCAGGAUCUGCGUACACAAAGGCCUAUCACUGAAUUCAAUAACCCUGAUCAUCUACCUCGAAAGGUCCACUAUCAUGAUCAAGCAGUGCUCUAUCUCGAAUCUUUCUGGCAAGAAUUCAUCUUUGAGCUUGCUUUUCUUUAAUUCGAUCGAUCAGGGGAUCUUGCACCACCAACGACAUGAGUCUCCAAGGUUGUCAGGAGCUACAAAAGAACUUCCAAAUUUAAUUGCUCCAAUUUUCCUUUUACCAACAGAGAUUGCAUUGUUACUCGACUUCGUCCAAAAUUUUCGCGUCGAUUUUCGACUUAAAGGCAUCUGCACAACAUUAGCUUUCCCUGGUGAUAAGGAUAGAUUAAAUCAUAAUCUUGAAUAAUUCCACCAUGCUACGUUGCCUCAAGUUUACUUCCUCUUUAAACAGAUACUUUAAGCUUUUAUGGAUCUCGUAUAGCGACUUCGCAACGCUCGCCAAAGUAUGCCCAAAGAGCUUUUAAAGGCAAAUUACCUCACAGCUCUCAACUCAAGAUCAUGUGUAGGGUAGUUCUUUUCAUAAUCCUUUAAUUGGCGAGAAGCAUAGCAGUUACUUCUGCAUUCUCUCAUUAGAACACACCUAAUCCAUGUCAGUGACAGCAUCGCUGUAAAUCAUAUAAUCCACGCCAGUCCAGGCAAGCCAGAAUCUGGGGCGGUAGUCCAGAAACCGUUCUUAAUUCUUGCAAGCUUCUUUCGCAAGCUUCAUUCCAUAGAAUUUAGCUUCCUUUAUGUGUGCAGUCGAGUGAGUAUGGAGUUGACAUCUUCCGCAAAUCCUUCUACAAAAUUCUUCGUAGUAUCCUGCAACCCAAGGAAACUCCGAAUUUCUGUGACCACUGUCGCCUAGGCCUAAUCUUAAUCGCUUCAGAUCUUCUUGGGAUUCUCAAGCUAUCCAGUUCGAAAUCACACUGGCCUCAGAAAUGCUACUUCUCGAAGCUUUCCAUCCUUUAUUAGCUCUUUCGCACACAGUUUCUCACCAUCCUACACGCAAACGUCCACCCCCGCACCCCAACAUCCCCACCAUCCGAUUCUCAACUAACUCGAACCCUUAUUCGAGUUCACACUCACAACUCCCACGAUCCCCCGAACAACUGACCACCCAACGAAACCUUAAUCAGAGGGCUCAAAGACACGGAUUCAUUAAAAAUCCAUAAAGGGCGGGCUGUCGGGGCAUUAGCAUUCCAUAACGGCACUGCUAUAAAUUCAUAGGCCCUAUACCGUGUCUACAAGUGUAGAUCUUUAGAGACAUCUUCUCCAGGCUUAAUUAAGCUGAUGAUACGCUGAUUGGCAAAUCCAACUCUUGAAAUACUCGAUUCCUGCAGAGGCUGAUCGAUAUAAGUGCGAUGGGGGGCAUGUUGCUGGCAUGAUUUUAUUCUUGAUUGUGGACUUUUGUUAGUGUCUUCGGUGAUAAUCUCCAUAACCACGCACAAUCGAAGAGAUCCAUCCUUUUUUUUGAGCAAAUAACACCGUCGUGCUCCCCUGUAACGCCGAAACACUUCGGUCGCAUAAAUCCUUUAUCUAAUCAGAUCUGUAACUGUGGGCCUCCAGCUCUUUUAAUCACGGGUGUCCAUCUUGACCUAUAGGCGCUUAGAGUAGGAGUAGUCCAGGGACAAGAUCAUCCAGACUCUAACCCUCUCUAGCAAGGGUGCGGCACUCCCACUGGAAUCUCACUGAUAACACAUCUGCGGCGGAAUUCUCAUGCACAUCACCGUGUGCGACCCUCUUGUUGGUCGCGCGUUUUGUCUCUGCGAUAAAAUUUGCUGCAUUGAACUACCUUCUAAUCCGUCCCAGGUCCGAUGGAAUUAGUAGGUAAACUUGUAUACCAAGUGAAGGCUGUCCUUGAGUUAGUGAAGUUAAUUAAAUAACUUUAAUUUCAAAAAGGACACUCUGGCCGCUGGCUUUCGCGCAUUGGCUGUAAAUCGAGCGACAACCUUUCGACCUUAUUUUCGUCUCAUCCCCAGAAAAAUUUUUUUUUUUUUUUAUUUCUUUUUUUUUUUUUUUUUUUUAUUCAAUUUCGGCAUCUUCCAAUUGCUCGAUAUGGGUGUUCUAGCAUAUAAUUGCAGAUAAUGCGUGACUGAAUACAGGCCGCAUCUGUCGCUUGGCCUGAAAACUUCGAAAAGUGUCUUCGGAUCGCUCUUCUAUUGCGCAUAUAUUAUCGUUUUAAUCCCCGGCAAGGGGGCUUGCGCUGGUAAUUGGGUUCAAUGGUUGUUGAUCCCAAACUUUCUGCCCUAGGGAUUAGCCCUUGUGCAUUCGGGACCUGCCGCUUAGCCUCUACAUUUGACGGCUUGUGGUUGCAAUUGAGGGGGUGGAGGUAAUCCCAAGCCAUUUCAGCUGUGACCUGUUACCAACGGCCGGUCUAUAAGCCCCUGUGUGAUGAGCGUGUGCGCCCGGAUGGACGGCGCCCAGAGCGAGCCGGUUUGUACUCGGAUUCUGUAACACUGGUGUUGAUCGACAGCGCUUGAAGGCCUGCUAUCGGCUGUCGUUUCGAGCUAACAAUGCACUAUUCGGCUACUGUUUUUCGUUAGAGGCCGGAUGCGCCAAACGCAUCCAGUAAGUGCGGUACCUUGCAAUGACUAUUUUUGGUCCAAAGUCUGUAGGCACCCUAGUCCAUUUGCCAAGUGCUUGGUCAAACUAGCUGCAUUUGGCCCCGGUGACCGGCUAGUUUCACUGCUCCGCCGUAAAACUGCUCUUGCACUCGCUCCACAGCGUUCUCCGAAUUACUGGGCUGUUCACUCCCAGAAUUUCUGGGAAUGGUCCUAUUACGGAGAUUCAUGGCGUUGUCGUCAGCCAUAAUUUAUAUAUAUAAAGUGAAAUUCAAAUUUACCUCAACUGAAGGUCCUACCGGGCGUGCCAAGAAAUUGUUGCGCUACCUAAAGUCCCGACCCUUGACUCGGUCAGAUAUCCUCCUCGGAAAGAGCGCCGGGAUGAUGAGCGGCUGCGGAUGAUGACCUCGAAGUUUGCUCCCACAGAGGAUCAAGCGAUUAGGCCGAUGCGGGAUCGAAUUAGCCGGGUUCGAAAACCUUCACAGUUAAUCCGCUUCGGCAGGAUGAGCCGAAUGGCUAGAACAACAUGAGAUCUGAUCGGCAGGAAGAGCCGAAAUGACUUUCUAUUAAUAAAAAGGGAGUGAUGCCCGGAGGGCAGACGGAUUCCGAGGUGUACAAGGGAGUGAUGCCCAGAGGGCAGACAGACUCCGAGGUGUUUACAAUGAAGUGAUGCCUGGAGGGCAGACAGACUCCAAGGAGGCUAAGUUACAGGAACUACUCCUAGGAAAAGCGAUAAAUGCAGGAAAGAAAGAUGCAGGAAAAUAAAGGUGGUCUUUUGUGCGCAGGGGCGAAGACCCGUUUUCAGGGUACUGCAGGCCUAUUUAUAGAUUUGCCCUUGCGUUCAUUUGUUGUCAUUGCACGAUCGGCCAACUUCUCCGGAUUUGGAGGACCACGUUCGGCCGAUUGGAACCGCCGUUUGGAACCGCUCAUAACCGCUUGUGGUUGCCACUUUUUUGAACAAACGCGGCUCAUAUUUCUUAGCGCAUUUCUUCCGUGCUCCCGGUCCAACGUUUCAAAUACUGAACAUGGAUAUGAACUCGGUGUGCAAACUGUCCGCGCCGGAUUGGUCCAACAGAUACCCUAUCUAAAUUUAUCGAAUAUUCACUUUAGUACCAUUUAAUUUUAACUUUGUCACUGAUUUAAUGAAAAAACUUAGUGGAAUCGAUAAUAAGAAGAUAAAAUUAAUACCACAAGCACUAAAUUAAUACAUUUUAAAUUACAGCCUCAGAAUACUAAAGUGAGAAAGUGUGAAAUCAUUGGAGUGGUAUUAUUUGAAGUUUUUUGAAGAAAAAUUGAACUAUUGCAUAGGUGAGUUUAAGAUUUUCAUCCUAUUUCUUUUUAGCGUUAUAUGGAACACUUCUUUAUUAGGAAUCCAAAAAAAAUUGUAUUAGUUCUCAGACUGUGAGAUAUAAGACUUGCAUCUAUUUUUUUGGAUAAAUUUUUAAUGUGAAAAUUUUGAUUCAUGAAUUUACACCUGCUUAUAUGAUUUACACUCACUAUCUGUGUAUAAGUAAUAUUGCUCUUUUAUAGAAGUCUAACUAUGAUGCUUUUAAAAGCACCAGUAUUUAGUGCUUGUAUGUUUUUUACCGUUAGAUUUAUCUUUUUGACCAUUUCAACUAGUUAAAUCAUACUAUUCAACCAACUACUCACUCAACCCUAGGGGACCGGUAUUAUCCUAAUUGCACAUUCUUUAAUCUAAGGGCAGAAAAUCUACAAGCACCAAUGACUUAAUACUUUUAAAAGCAUAGAAGCUCAAUUCCUUUUAUAGAUACUCUUUUGAAAAGUUCUAAUUUUAUCUCUACACUUUUGGACUGUGUUUUGUUCAGACAUAAAUAAGAAUUGCUUAUUUCAGAGAUAGGUAUAGGUUCAGAUAUAACCAGAAAAUAAACUAAUUUUGCAUUUUGAAAAAAAAUGAGUUAUUUCUGAAAAUAAGAUAAAUAAUGUUUGGAUGGUGGAACAGAAGGAAUAAGAGCUAUAACUUUAAAUUAAAAUUAUUUUUUAUCUAAUUAAUUAACAUCAAAAUAUUAAUUAAAAUAAUUUAAUAAAUUAAUAAAUUUAUUAGCUAUGAAUAUUGUAUUAGAUGAUAAAAAUAUAUUAAUUUAAUUAAUUAAAUAUAAAGUAUAAUUUAACUUUUUAAUUAGUUAGUAAAUUAUUUUAGUUAGAUAACUAGUAAAAAAAAUUAAUGAGACCAAUGGAAAUAUAUAUUAAUGAUUGAGCAAUACGAAUAUUAGUUGGCCUUUUUGCAUAAAAAAUCCACUUAUUUUGGGCUUUCGCAAAAUCGGGUCACUUUUUCGUUUUUGCAGAUUCGGUCCGUUUUUUCAGUAAACUGACCAAAAUACCCUUAUUACUUUUUCUCUUUCCUCUUUCUCUCUCCUCUUCGUUUCUUCCGUUUUUUUUUUUUUUCGUUCUUUUUUCGAGCCCGCCGCCGAGCCCUUCCUCCGCCUUCGCAAGCCGAAUCCCCCUCCUCUUCCCCCGCCGCCGCCGAGCCCACCCCCACCGCGUCUCGCCUCCUCUUUUCUCUCUCCUCUUCUCUCUCCUCCUUAAGCCCUCCUCACUCCCAUCGCCUCCUCAAGCCGCCGCUGUAAGGACUGAGAUUUUUACAGUGCAACUAAACUCUCUGUUGAUGAUGUUUAUGUGUGUAAUUUAAUUACAUAAGCACUCGUCAAGUUUCAGGAGAAAAUGAGCUAAAACAGAGAAGUUACGCGAUUAUUAGUUUUCACUUAAGUGAAUAGUAACUCGAUUUUUCGGUGAAGCCACGGAUAGAGUUGGCUUUCGCGUAUCGACUCCGUUCAUAGCGAUCCAAUAGCUCGUUUUCGACCGGUUCAGCUAUUCUGGAACCAUUGGCAUGUUGGAUUUUGAGGUUUGAUGCACGGAUUUCGAGAAAAUCCAAAAAUACAUGUUUUAUAUGUAUUUACUGUUUAUUUUCUUAUUUUGGAAAGAAGAGUGGAUUGUGUCGUGAAUCCGUGGUUGAUCGAGGUGAAGCGAAUCGCAGCUUUGUUGUCUCCGUCGUGCUGAACGCGAUGGCGCUGUCGGAUCGAAAAUCCGAUGGACGAUUUUCGGGGAAACGCGAAAUGUUCGCUAAGGGGUCGAAGGUGGCAAAUCGGAAACUUCGCAAAAGUCAUUGUAUUUUAUGUACCAAAUCGCUUGAGAUUGAAUGUGGAGGUGCGUAUGUGCAAUAUUUACCUACUGUAAAGCACUGGGUUAGAAAUAUAUAACUUCGGGGAGCUAUCUGCAAUUGUACACUAUGUAUAUAAGGUGCAUCUAGGGUUUCAUGCAUGAAAACCUAGAUUUAGCCGACCUAGUUCCCUCAACUAACCCUAGCCGACCUCAGAUAGUCCUGCCCUAGCCAUGCUCGCACCGGCGCCGGCAGGUUCUCCGUUCCGGAAAACUAGAACCCGGCCACCUCCUCAUCCUCUCUCUCUCAACCAAUCCCUCAACCUCCUCCAUUUCUAUCCGAGGGCACCCAGGUGUGGUCACGGUCGGGCACCACUCUGGCAGCGCGCCCCGACCUCCGCCGUCCCGCCUGCCCGCCCCGCCGUGCGCCACGGCGCUGCGUCGGCCUGCCUGACGACCUCGGCGACUGACCUAGAUCUGGCCGAGCCUGGUCCCACACCGCCUCCAUGGGCCACCGUCGGCUUUGGACUUCUAUGCCGCCUUCCCCGGCGUCGUCACAGCCGGCCCCUGCCGCUCCCGUGCGCCGCCGGCGCCGCCUCUGCUCCCUGCGGCCACCACGGUCAGCCCAGACCGAGCACGGGUGGGCUCGAGGCCCGCGCGCCGCCGCCACUCCAGAUCGGCCGCGCCGCCAUUCCUCACCCGCCGGCUACCUCCGGCGCGCGUCCCCAGCCAUCCCCGACCACCGCCGGCCGCCGCCCGAAGCUCCUGUAGCCACCCAGACGCCAUGCGGGCCGAGGCUGAGCCUUCGUGGCCUCCGCGCGUCGCCACCACCUAUGGUGGGGAGCACCACCUCCCCCUCGGCCUCCGCCGCCGGUUCGUCGCCGCCCCGACCUCCUCCGGCCGACGCCGCGCCGCCGGGAAGCCUUGAACCCGAGAGCUGUUGGCGGAAUUGAUCUCCUCCGCCGCGCCACCGGCCGCCUCCCGCCGCCGGCCAGCAGGUUCCCCGGACCCGUUGGACCAGCUGCACCCUUCCCUUGCCGGAGCUCACGCCGUCCGACAGCCGCCGGCCGUGCCCUAGCUCCACCUUGUCCGGUAAGCUAUUUUCAGCCUGUCUGCGCACUAGUUCCUUGUUUAGAUCACUGUUCCUGCGACCCGGGGCUGUUCCGAUGCCCCCGGAGGUGAGCACGGUGAUCGUCAGUCAGUCCUGAUCACAAUGCUCACCUCAUUUAGGGUCAGCGAAGCUCACGGCAUGAGAAUUUAAUUAGAUGCGUUUAGUUUCAUGUCGCUGUUUAGUUAAACUUAGUGUCGGCCCUGGUCGCCAUCCCACAGUGGCGGAAUUGCUCCGAAAGUGAGCCGGCUUCCUGCACUGUCGUGCGAGACUCAUCACGCGCGGGUCUCAGGCUUCGCUGAUUCAUUCUGGUUUGUGCAGGACGCCAUAAAAAGCGCCGAAAUACGCAUGAAAAUAAUGUCGGAUUUCGCGUAUCGGAAGGGCUUUUAUGCAACUUUAGUUGUCGUGCGUACUGUCGCGCGCGGCAGCGAUUGAAUGAGCUGCUGCUGGUGACCUCUGGACUGAUUUGCCAACCGCCCCGACCUUGCGAAACGAUCGAAAAUGUAUUUUCGGUGGCGUUGUCAGGCAAUAUUCCGCCGACCGGAACUGCUUUUGUUUGGAAUAUAUUCCGACGUGUUGUAGCUUUGUGUAGCGCUGAGCCUUGUUGCUGGUCAACGGCGUCAUUUCGAGAUUCAAAUGAUGGCCGGAGCGACGGUGGUUUCCGGUUCGAAAUAGACACUUCCGGCGAACUCUGUGAUCGGAACGAUUAUCCGACGAUAAUAGUUUUGGAGUGAGAUUAGGUAUCUGCUGCAAGUCACACCGUAAUUUGUAGUAUUUAGCAGCGCGUGCGAUCGCUGUACGAAGUCGGGAUUCCGGGAUGUUAGUGAUGUCGGCGAGUCCGGGUCGCAUUUCAGACUUUCGGAGGUACGGCUAAUCACGCGUAUUGGGAAACCGAUCUCCGUGGCUUGUUUUGGUAUACUUUUAGUGUUUCUUAGUUUGUGGUUAGACACUAACCCAGUGGACCCUUUAUGGUGCCGUUGACGUUCUUCGCAGUCAGGGACAGCGCGCGACAGUUGUACAGUAGUGGGGUACUUCGAUCGACGUUGUACAGUGGUGCGACGCCGGUGUGUAUAGUUAUCUUACCUUACUCUUUUGUUAUUAUCCAUGUUUUGUUAUAUGUUGAGCUGUGCAUCUUAUAUUGCUUGUUACCCACUUUUUGAUUCUACUCUACGUCAAUUUUCCGGCAUGCUUAGUAUCAUGUGUAAGGAGUUGUCUAUCUUAUGUGAUAACAUGUUGUCAUUGUUGCUCCUCACUUUAGCUAUUCUGCAUACCCUGUUCAGUAUUUAUGAGUAGAGCGAUUCUGUAAUUAUCUGUAAGAUUAGCGACUCUAGUCCGUCCGAUUAGUAUUCUAGUAUUUGUGACCUUAUUCGUGUGCAGUUCCCAACUUUUUGUCUUUGCCGUUGAGGUCGCGGUGAUUACCCUGAGGGCGUGAUUGUAUUAGUUUGCGAGGCAUGAUUAUACUUUAUUCAUAUUCCCAUAUAUUCUGUGCAUGAUUGUCGACGUUCAUAUCCUUAUACUUGUGACAGAUGGCGAGCUGUCAUAUCCUGUACUUUUUGACAUAGAUUGGUCGAGUUUCCAUAUUCUAGUUGACUGCUGAGCCCUAUCUUUACAGGGCAGUCCUUGUGUUACAAUUGAGCAGUAUUGCAUAUGUUUAGAGGAGAUGUCGAUGUUGUUCCAUCCUAGUUGCGCUGAUGUUGGUCGGUUCUUGUCUUCUCUAUACAGACAUUGGCACGACCUAUGCGGUCGAUGGACCCUGCAGAGCAGGAUUGCGGCUGUUGCGGACGGUUGAUUUAGUUGAAUAUUGCAUGUUGAUCGCCAUACUCGUCGCAUUUCACGAACACUGGCUCUGAAAUCCACGCAAAGAAGGGCGUUUUCCGGAAAAGGUUGGAAUGGGUGACAACCGUGUAGCCCUAGAGGGACGAAUAUUGCACUGCCCGAGAUAGUCAGUUGGCAUGGCUUUGAGCUGCGUGGAACUGACCGAAAGCAGCCAUUGUUUUCAGAUUGGUUACUUUUGGACUUCAUGAUCCGGUGAACGCAUAUGUCUAUAUAGCAGUUCGAUGUAUGUUAUACUUACAGUUCUUACUUUAAGUUGUCUUGCUGCUAUAGUAGAUAUUUCAUGUAUGCUUGGUUCCAGUCUACAGUAGCAGAGUAGCCGCUUAUUCAGUCUAGGUAAUCUUACUUCUUUCAGUUUAUUGCCUACUUUAUUCGCGUAUAUCUGCUCUUUACCUUAUUAUUUUCCCUACUAUAUUCCACUGACCUUGUUGUUAUUUAGCUUUCCUGAUCGCAGUGAAUACUUCCUCGCUCAUCGGCUGCUGUACACUGGAGGCAGACAUGUUACAUGGUCUUCACAUCCCCCACCAUUUUUCAGGUAUUCAGGCGGUGAGAUUUAGACGACGAGCACGACGCCCCCCCCCCCCCCGCCCCCCCCCCCCCCCCCCCCCUAGCGGUCGAUAGGAUCUUCCGGAUCCAGGUCGUGUCGGUUUUUUUACUUCUUCCCCUGUUUUGAUUUGCUACUUGAAUUAGCUUUCAGUAGUUUAUAUGUUCAGUAAUUUUUAUUACAUUUUAAUAUGGCGAUUUCAUGAAUGUAAUAAAAGUUUUCUAACCCCCUCGUGCUAGGGUUGUUAAAGACGAAAUAAAUGUUUGAUUAGAAACAGUUUCAAAGAAGUUUUUUUAUGGAUUUGUCUUUAAACAAUUGAAUGUUAAAAAUUGUGGAUGUGAAUUGGUGAAUGUAUGAAUGUAUAUGAUCUUUAGUAUCAUCUAGUGUGUUGUAUCCUGAGUGAGAUCUGCUGUACUUGUGCGACGCGCUGCAAAUUACAGGGGAGACUCUUACGGUGCUGAAUAGUGACUCCCUAUAUUAUGUGCGGAGUCGACAUUACUCUUGGCGGUCAGUCAUCUGUGUUGCAAAAAAAAAAAUUUCAGACGCUUUUCCGCUAUCUCUCUAAACGAAUGCGACCCGGGCAUGAACAGCGCGCACGCUCCGGCCUCCGCCUCGCCUCCACAAAGCCCGAACCGACCGCCGCCGCUCGAAAGUUCAGGGUGAGAAGAUCCUCGUCAAGCUCAAGGGUCGAGGAGCCGCGAUCGUUCUCCCUCUUCACGACGAAGCCCGCGCCGAGCCCUCGUUUCCUCCUCUACUUCGCACUGCUCCUCCCGCGGCCAUGGACACCGGCCCCACGCGAGACGCGCAACCCCACGACCGAGACCACCCCCACCGUCGCUCUCCGUCGCCGUCGCGCGAGGCCCAGUUCCCGCCCCUUGCCGACCGCCUCGGUCACCCCUCAUCGCUCUCAACUCCCCUCUUGCUUUAGCCCUCGUCCACCCCAUCGGUCGUUCUCCGUCGCCCGUCAUCCGUCGUCUGGGUUGCCGACGCCAGCCCGCACCCCAUUAAUGGUGUUAAUGGUGCCACCAUCACAUUACACCAUUUAAUGGGCCACCUUGAUUAACCAUGUAUGGUGUAAUGGUUUAGAUGGUGCACCAUUACAUAAUGGUGCCACCAUUGCACCAGUUACAUCAUUAAUGGUGCACAUUACGACCAUUAAUGGGCUUGUAAUGGUGCAAUGAGUGCACCAUUACACUAAUGGUGACCAUUAACCAUACACCUAUGAUAAUUACACCAUUAUCCUGACAUUGGGCGUUCAUCUUUAAUGGGCUGCACCUAUAUACACUAUGAAGAAGAUACAGAUAUGUACUUUCAUCUCGCCGCGCAGCGCGCCGCUGUGCCCGCCCCGUGUCCGCCCGCCUGCGUUGUGACCGCCCCGCUGCCGAGCCCGGCCCGCACCCCGCUCGCGCCGCCAGCGAGCAGUCCGGGAUCGAGGCUCUCCGCCGGCCGCGACGCACUCAAGCCGCCGGUCUGUCGGCCCGUGGCCGCGGUCCGGCUCGACGUUGGCGCUGAACGUCCAGCAGAGCUGGACGAGGUACUCGCGGCCUGCGAUGGCGAGGCAGCAGGCGACCGCGACGCCUCCGUUCAACAUCAGUGACGGCGUCUGCGCCAGAGAGCGCACAAUCCGUAAACGAGCUCCACUCCCUCCCAGCGCCGACGGACGAACUUCUGCCACCUCUCUCCCUCCGCCCGAGCCGCCCGCACGACGACGACGCGCUGACGGCGCCGGGACGAGGGGCUCCGGCUGCGACGGAGACGACGAUGACGGCGCAUGGGCCGCCGCGCCAUGGCCGUGGGCUCGGCGACGGCGACGGAGACGACGGUGGGGGUGGACUCGGCGGCGGCGGCGGGGGAGAGGAGGAGGGGUCGUGGGCGGUGGAGAGGAGGGUGAGGAGGGAGGCAACGGUGAAGAAGGAGGGUGAGGAGGGAGGCGACGGUCUGAUCCGCCUCUUUUUUUUCGGCGAGAAAAAAAAAAAAACGACAGAAACGAAGAGGAGAGAGAAAGAGGAAAGAGAAAAAGUAAUAAGGGUAUUUUGGUCAGUUUGCUGAAAAAGCGGACCGAAUCUGCAAAAACGAAAAAGGUGGCUCGGUUUUGCAAAAGUCCAAAAUAAGUGGAUUUUUUAUGCAAAUUGGCCAUAUUAGUUUAUAGAUUAACACAUUAAAUUAUUGAUAAUUAACACAUAAUAUCAGUAUCUAUUUAUUUUCGAAAAUAUAACCUGAGAAAAAUAAAAUUUGAUCAUAUAUUCUACUCAAUCUGCAAAAAAAAAAAAAAAAUUUGAUUACGUAUUCAACAGGCCUUCUUUUCGUCGACAUCUAAAAUAUUCGUGAAUAUGCCUGCCCCUAGACCUUCUAAAUGACAUUUCUACCAAUAGCAGACCGCAAUCUAAAUAAAUUUUAUCAUCUAAACUAAAUUUUCAUAAUUUUUACGUAUUUUUUAUUAAAACAGGAGUUAAAAAAUAAUGUAAUAGAAGAUCACAGAUCAUUUACUUUGUAAGGACUUUUUUUUUUUCUAAAAAAUUGCAUGUUAUACGAUAUAAAUACUAGAUAUAUUCUAAAUAAAAGGUUAAAAAAUAACAUGGAUUAUAAUAUUAUCCUUUGCAAAUGUAGUUGGGAGUAAAAAUAUUAUUUUACUAACUUGGAUUUUGAGGUUCAAACAAGCAUAUUUAGAAUGACAUGUAUGAUAUAUUUGUGAAUUUUUUUAAAAAAAUAUCUUUAAAAAAUAAGAACGAUCCAGAACAUCCACGGGUCCAGUCACACUUCGACUUGGGGUAAUCCUUAUCUGGUGUGAAAAUCUCAUCGUCAUCGUACACAUUCGGAAAAGAAAAAUAAAAAGGAAAUAUAGGAAACGUCAUAGUUAUCAUCUUCGCAUUAGAUAUUGUUGCCACAUCAUUCUACACACAAGGGCCUAGCUAGAUGGCCCUUAUUUGCUGCGCAAGUAAUGCCUACUGGGUCCCACAGAUGGGGCGACUCAGCAGCCACCAGAUCAAAUAAAUAUAUAUCUCUCAAAAUUUUAAAAUAUUUUAUAUUAUAUUUUUUUUAUUUCAAAUAAUAAUUUUUUUGGUAUCUUUCUCCGUUAUUUAAAAAUAAAAUACUGCCUGUUCUAAUAACCAUUAAGUCAUCUUGUAUUAAAUCCGAAUUAAAUUUCUAACCGAGUUAAAAAAAGUUCAAUACUUUCUUUAUCCUAAUUAAGUGUAAAUAAGAAAAAUUAAUAAUGGCAGAAGGAUAAAUUUGAAAGAGCAAAAUAUCAAAACGCUUCUUUUGUCUUCAAUUUAAGGAUAAAUAAGAAAAAGUUGGUGACAGUAGAAUAGUAUAUUUAAAAGUACAAAAUAGUAAUUUUACAGAGAUAAUGGUUUGUCAUUAAUAAAAUUUAACUCUAAAGGGUGCGUUUGGUUCGAAUUAUGUAAUAUUAUAGAGGUAUUUCGAUAUAUUCAGAUAUUUUGGAUUUCUAAAUAACAUUACUAUAAAUACUGCAUUAGCGCCAUUUGGUUUAAUACAGUAAUAUAAUGCUGAAUUACAGUCUUUAUACCAUUAUUAUGUUUGGUUCACUCUGUAAAAUUUUUUACAAUAAAGUAUAGUCUAUUCUAAAAUUGCCCUUAGCCACAUUUGGCAAACCUUUUUUUUCACUCUUUACGAAUAAUAUAUUUUUUCUACUAAUUUUCUUUUAAAUAAUUUAAAAUUUAAAAUUUUAAAAUUUAAACAAAAAUAUAAAACUUUAUAUUUUUAAUUUAAAAUAUAAAUAUAAAAUUUAUAAAUUUAAAAUCUAAAAUAUAAAUGUGAAUUAAAAUUAAAUUUAUGUUCUAAAUUUAAAAUUUAAAUAUAAAAUUUAAAAUUUGAGAUUUAAAAUUUGAGAUUUAAAUUUAAAAUUUAAAAUUUCAAGUUUAAAAUAUAGAAAUAUAAAAUAUAAAAUAUAAAAUAUAAAAUAUAAAAUUUGAGAUUUAAGAUUCAAAAUUUAAAAUUUAAAAUUUAAAAUUUAAUUUUAAAAUUUAAAUUUAAAUUAAAUUUUAAAUUUUAAAUUUAAAUUUAAAUUUUAAAUUUUAAAUUUGAAAUUGAUGUUUAAAAAUUUAAAUUUAAAAUUCAAAGUUUUAAAUUUAUAAAUUUAAAAUUAAAAUUUAAAAUUCAAAAUUUAAAAUUUAAAAUUUAAAAUUUAAAAUUGACAAUUCAAAACUUAAAAAUUGAAAUUGUAGUUCAAAAUUUAAAUUUUGAAAUUUUAGUUUUAAAUUUAAAUUUUAAAAUUCAAUUUAAAAAUUUAAUUUAAAAUUUAAAAAUUUAAUUUAAAAUUUAAAAUUUAAAUUUAAAUUAAAUUUUAAAAUUAAAACUUAAAAAUAAAAUUUUAAAUUUUAAAUUUUUAAUUUUGAUUUUGAAAUUUGAAGUUUAAAAUUUAAAUUUGAAAAUUUAAAAUUUAAAAUUUAAAAUUUAAAAUUAAAAUUAAAAUUUUAAAAUUUGAAAGUUGACAAUUCUAAAUUUUAAGUUAAAUUUUUUAAAAUGAUGUAUUGAAAGGGUUUCAGGAGUUGAAGAGGUAAGCUUGUAAUUUUAUAUAACAUGCAAUAUUAGCCGCUUUCAGCAAGUCAAGAUACACGCCCCCCCCUUCUCGGUAAUAUUUUUGGUGUAACCUUACACCUUUUGUAAUGCUACAAUACCGAACAAAUUACAUACUGGAUGAACUAAAUGCAGUAAUCUUUGUAGGAUUGCCUGUAAUCCUGUCAGGAUAAUCCGAGCCAAACGCACCCCCUAUGGGUAUAUUUGAAAAAAACUUAGAAUGUUAAAAGAGUUUUUUAUUUCUAUUUUUAUAUAUUAGCCUUCUAAAGAGAUAUGUAGGAAAGUCUAGUAAAAUUUCAGGUGUUUAUAAGCAAUUGCUUCAUAAAGAUAUAUAUGGAGAGAGAAAACGCUGUCAAACUACCAUUUUGUUCAUAUUUUUUUAGAAAUAAAUGUAAUUAAAAAUGUGAAGUAAUUUAACUUCAAAUUUAGGGCCUAAAGUAUCACUCAUUAAGUUAUUAGCCAAACUGCACUAAAUAGUAAAUUGAAUAAAGAUAAUUGAGUGUCGGCACUACAUCUUGCAACUACAUCUUGCAACAGAUUAUUGAUAGAAUGAUUAAUUAAAAAAGAAAAAAAAUAAAAAUAUAUAGAGAUCUGUUAACUUGUUUUUUUUAAUUGACAUUUCUUUAGCUUUUAAUUUUUUCUAUUUUAAUUUUUCUUUAGUUUAGUUAUUUCACAGUUUCAUAACUAGAUGAGCUACUAAAUGUUAAUUAUUUUAAUUUCAUUUACUAAAAAGUUAUCAAAGUUAUUAAAUUUUCCAAUUAGCAUAAAAAUCUACUAGUUUUGCGUUUUUGCAAAAAUAGGCCACCUUUUUUUAUUUUAAAGAUCAGGUCUGAAUUUUCAGUAAACUGAUUAAAAUAAUCUUAUUCUUCUUUUUCUCUCCUUUCUCUCUCGUUCAUUUUUCUCUUUCCCCUUCGUCUCCGCCCUCCCCACCGUUCCUUCCUCUCUUUUUCCUUCCACUUCCUCUUUCUUCUCCGUAGCUCCCACGUUGACGUCAUGCUCCUCCUUCCUACCUUGCCCAGAUAUGGUGUAAUGCUCCGGGACUACAGCGAAAGCACUCCUCUUUCCUACUUAUCCCAGAUAUGGUGUAAUGCUCCGGACCACAGCGGAAGCACUCAUCGGUCCGCCGCAACUCCAGUGUCGAUGCCGUGCUCCUCUUUCCUACCUGGCCGAGAUAUGGUGUAAUGCCUCUGGCCACAGCAGAAGCACUCAUCGGGCAAGCGCACCAGAUCUACUGAACAUACUAUACAUGGAUUGUAUAAGGAAACUAUCACAAAACAUAAAGUAAAUGGAAAAACCCGUCCCAUUAGCAAUAAAAACUCGUUGGACCUAAACCACAGGCCCAAAAUGCUUAAGCCAGUUAUUAUUACUAGUGUGGAGUCCUCUUAUAUACCUAAUGACAACUCCAUUCCUAUCGAAUGUGGGACUAUUGGUGUCACGCCCCGGGACCCGGCGAAAGCCUGCCCGGUGCGUGUCCAGACCCGCCAUAUGUUAAUAACAUAUAAGGCGUCUACACAGUAAUAUAAAUAAGCAAGAAAGAUAAACCUCUAAUAUGAUAUCAGAGCAUACAACAACUAAAUUCUAAUGGCAAGUAGAAUAUAGAAGAUCUAUGUCACACCCCAGGGUCCCUUUUUAAUUUAAAAGCAAUGCGGAAGCACCCUAAUUUUUUUUUUUUUUUUUUGAAAAACCUGACCCCUAGGGUAUGCCAGAUCCGCCAUAAAUAUAGGGAGUUCACUGUUCACACGGAUAGAGUCUCCCCUGUAUUUGCACGACAUCGCACAAGUACAAUAUACAACCACAACCGUAUGAGCAUACACAUACAUUCACCAUUCACCAACAGGUUCAUAUUCAAAGUUUAUUCAUAAAUUCAUAACUAUUAGUUUAAAAUAUUUCCUAUCCGGAAACUCAUUUUGAAAUACUAAUUUAUGAAAACCACGUGAAAACCUUUUCAAAAUCGUUUCUCACACGGAAACCCUUUUUCUUUAAAACACGCUACCACGAGGGGUAGAAAACCAUUUUCAUCUCAUAGAAACCAAGAAGAUUGAAGCAAUCAAGGAUUGGCCGAGACCGACGAGCGUCACGGAGAUACGGAGUUUCCUUGGAUUGGUCGGUUACUACCGGAGAUUUGUCGAAGGAUUUGCUAAGCUAUCUACUCCCCUCACGAGGCUCACGCAUAAAGGUGUUAAGUUCUUUUGGAAUGAUGCGUGUGAGAGAAGCUUCCAAGAGUUGAAGCAACGAUUGACUACCGCCCCGAUCUUGACCCUACCAGUAGCUGGAGCAGGGUAUGUGGUUUAUAGUGAUGCUUCACUUAAUGGAUUGGGCUGUGUAUUGAUGCAGGAUGGCAAGGUGAUCGCGUAUGCUUCUCGCCAGCUAAAGGAAUAUGAGAAGAAUUAUCCGACGCAUGAUUUGGAGUUGGCGGCCGUAGUGUUCGCAUUGAAGCUAUGGCGCCACUACCUUUAUGGCGAACGGUGUGAAGUAUACACGGAUCACAAGAGCUUAAAGUACCUAUUUACUCAGAAGGAGUUGAACCUGAGACAGCGCAGAUGGUUGGAGCUGCUCAAGGAUUAUGAUCUGACGAUCCUUUACCACCCGGGCAAGGCUAACGUGGUGGCGGAUGCGCUAAGUAGGAAAUCGAUGGAAAACUUAGCGAUGCAUGUUGUGACUCAACCGCAGUUGAUCGAGCAGAUGAGGCGGUUGGAGUUGGAGGUAGUGACUCCUGACACACCCUUGAGGUUGAUGACAUUAGUAGUGCAACCUACCCUGUUGGACAGAAUUAAAGAGAAGCAAGUUUCCGAUUUGGAAUUGCAAAAGAUUAGAAGAAAAAUGGUUGAUGGUUGCACCGGCGAUUUCCUUGUGGACGACCGAGGGUUGAUGCGCUUUCGAGGACGACUAUGUAUACCCGCGGAUUCGGGGAUUAAAGAAGAUAUUCUUCAAGAAGCGCACCGGGCGCCCUAUGCUAUACAUCCGGGAGGCACCAAAAUGUAUAAGGACUUAAAGUUGCUCUAUUGGUGGCCUGGGAUGAAAAAGGAUGUUGGCGAGUUUGUAGCUAAAUGCUUAACUUGCCAACAAGUGAAGGCAGAGCACCGAGUUCCCGCGGGGAGGCUUCAGAGUUUGCCUAUUCCAGUGUGGAAGUGGGAGAAGAUUACCAUGGACUUUGUGACAGGAUUACCACGCUCACAGGCGGGGCAUGACGCUAUUUGGGUGAUCGUGGACAGGUUGACGAAGUCGGCGCACUUCAUACCUAUUCAUACGACUUGGACCGGAGAGAAGCUCGCACAAGUGUACCUAGAUGAGAUCGUGCGACUUCAUGGAGUGCCUACAUCAAUUGUUUCGGACCGAGACACCCGCUUUGUGUCUCACUUUUGGAGGAGUCUACAGGACGCCUUAGGCAUUCGAUUGGAUUUUAGUACUGCUUUCCACCCGCAGAGUGAUGGG